rnacentral:lncRNA from 1 species
GGGAGGCCACCUUUCCCUCUUAAUGAUUGUCUCGAGGGAGACUAUUUUCUCUUCUAGCUCCCUUCGGGUUACCUUUUUCUCUGGUUUGGCCGUAAUUGGCCGUUCUAUUUUCGACUUCAACUAAGGAAUGGGCGCCAAACCACCUGCUUCAUGAUCAUUCCGCAUUGGAAGAAAAGGGCGUGGUUGUUCAUUGGGUCGUCUCCACAAAUUCAGCUUCAUCCCUUUCGCCUCCUCAUAGUGUUGUUUUGCUUCGGUUUGCAACCUUUGCUGCCGAUGCUUCUGCGUUUUUGUCAACAUCGGCCCUUGCCACUUGGCCGAUGGUUUAGCCUCAUGCCAUUGAUCAACCGGCACAUUUGCUGGUACUUUCACUGUUCUCAAAUGAUUCUUUAAAAUUUCUCUUCUUUCCAAGGAUCUUGGCCACGGUUGAAUGCCGAGCUCAUUAACCAAUCUUCGACCAAGGAACUCUAUGUCUCCCUCAGUCAUCCCUUCGAACUCCGGUUCUGGUCUCGGCCUGGCUGGAUGCUGCCAGUGUGGCCGAUACCCAAGGAAUCUCUGUUUCGAGCCGAAUGGUUUAUCUGGAUAACUCCAUCGACUAUUAUGUUCUUCUUUUCUGCUGUUAUAAUAGUCAUGCUGGACUUUCUGAAUUAACAAGUCCUUCUUGUUUUGAACCGAAUCGACCUCCGGCUCAGACUCGUUGGAGGCUUCGUCUGAGCUAUCCUCUGACUUGUCAUCUCCUUCGGGAAUUUCUUCCCAUUCUUCAGGAAAUGCCAUCAACUCUCUCCAUUCAUUGCUUCUUUUCUUUUCGUUGAUUAUGACUUCCCAAUCUUUCUUUGUCAUUUCGACUUUGCACCUUAUGUAGAGCCGAAGAGUUCUCUUGACAUAGAUGACGUGUUCAGCGGUCUUCUUGUCCGCGACUGCCUUUCUCUUGACAUCCACCAUAUUGACCUGCGACGGAAAUGAAUUUUUGUAAAUUUCUAUAUUUUUAUUUUCUUGAUCAGCAAAUAUGAGCCGACCCUCAUUUAUUUCUUUUUGAAUUUGCCUCUUAAAGGCAGUACACUCAUUCGUCUUAUGGCUCCAUAAAUGAUGCCAUUUAUAAUAUUUUCUUCUUCUUAAUUCUUCCAUAGGGGGUAUGGUUUGACCCUCCCGUAACUGAAUUCGUCCAUUUUUCAAUAACCGAUCAAAAAUUAGAUCGAUCUUUGAAACGUCAACAAAAUAAGUAUAUGCCGAAACCCGUGCUUUUGCCUCGCUUGAUUUAGCUGGCUUCAACAAAGCACACUUAUAUGGUUGACGGUUUCUAACCAUCUCAGCAGCAUAUAUUUUGGCUUCAUCAGCCGAAUCCUCGAUCUCUUCAAAUGAAUUCGGCUCCUCAUGAGCCAAAGAUUCUUCAAGGAAAGAAAUGAUUUUCUCCUUCUCUUUGUUCCAAUCUUUGUUUUGGCUCCACCUGGGCCGAUCCUCAUUAUUUCCCUUUCGGAAUUGCUCAUAUUGAGCAACCCAAACUCCCAAAUCGAAAAGAUUUGAAAAAUAUUUAUCUUUAAAAUGAUCUUUAAUUUUGAAGUGUAAGCCGUUAAAUGUCAUUUUGGCAAAUUCUGACUUCGGCAUUCUGACGAAACAAUGGCUUCUGGCCGUUUUGAAUCGGUUCAAAUAAUCUUCAACCGAUUAGCCCGUUCUUUGUUUGAACUGAGCCAAAUCAGCGACCGACAAUUCCGGUUUUGAUCUAUAAAAUUGUUCAUGAAACUUUCUUUCUAAUUCGUCCCAAUCUCGGACGGAAUUAGCCAGCAGACUUGUAUACCAAGUGAAAGCUGUUUUGGAUAACGAGAUGUUAAAUAAUCCAAGUUUUAAAAAGUGGCCUGCAGUGGCUUCUCGGCACUGUGCCGUAAACCGUGCAACAUGCUCGACCGUGUUUUCGGUCUCAUCACUAAAAAAUUUGUCAAAUUUCGGCAUUUUCUAGUUUGCCGGAUAAGGAUGCUCUGCGUCAAUAUUUGCAGGAUAUGGUGAUCUAAAUACAGGCCGCAUUGCCGGCCUUACACUUACUCCAAAAGUAUUUCGGAUGGCUUCUUCGAUCUGUGCAUAUAUUUUAUUAUUGUUCCCCUACAAGGGAACUUCUGCUUGUGCUAUGUUCAGCCCUUGCGGUAGUACGAAGUUUUGCACCACAUGGUUUGCUUCUUGUAUAUUCGGAGCCUGCCUCCCAGCCCUUGCCCUUGCAUUUUGGGGCUGAUACGCUGCCAUUGGCGGGGGAGGUGGUAAUCCCCAUUCUAUUUCUGGCUACUGACCGGCGACAACAGCCGGUCUAUAAACUGCUUGAAAUGGUGCCCCCUGGUAUUGAGGUUGACUAUUUACCGGUGUUACAAGAUUUUGUAACACUAGUGUGACUACAGGUCCUUGUAAGCCUGUUGCCGGCUGCUCAUUACGAGUCAAUAAUUGCCCUAUUCGAGGAAUAUUCUCGUUGGAGGCCAUAAUUGCGGCCAACACUGCAUCUAACCGUGCAGUGCUUCUAUAACUAUUUUGGUCCAAAAGUUGUAGGACCUGUGUCAUUUGUCCAAGUGCCUGAGCCAGACUAGGUUCUUGUUGGUCAGACUGACCACUAGUCUCGCCUUCAACAGAUAAGACUGCUUGGCGAUCUCCAGCAUUAUCUGAAUUGCUGGAUUGUUGAUCGCUCCCGGAACUUCUGGGAACGAUCCUAUUGCACAAGUUCAUGGCGUUAUCGUCAACCAUUAUCAUAAUAUAAGAAUAAAUUUACCUAAAUGAAGUCCUACUAGGCGUGCCAAAAAUUGUUAGGAGCCGAAUUCUCCCUUCUUUGGCCUGGUCAAAGAUCCUCCUAGGGAAGCGUGUCGGAAAGUGGAACGACUACGAUCAGUGACCCUCGAAGUUUGCGCCCUUCGACUGGAUCAAACGAUUCAGCUGACAAGGGAUCGGAUCAACCGAGUUCGAAAAUCUCUACUAUGGAAUCAAUUCAGCUAGAUGAGCCGAAUGUACGGACUACACAAAAACAAGGGUCGGCCGAAGAGCCGAAUAGAUGAAAACACAGUGAUUGGUCGGCUUGAAGAGCCGAAAGCCUUUAAAUAUAUUGAAACUAACUGAUGGAAAGAAUACAGGGAUCGAGUGUGCCUAUGGGCAUACAGACUCGGUUGAUCUAACUUACUUCUACUCCUAGGGAAAAGCAGUCAAUGCAGGAAAGUGAAAAAUUACAAGUAGACUACUCCUAGAAAAUGCGAUUAAAUUGCAAGGAAAUAAGGGUGGUCUUCUAUUCUCGGAGAAAAGACCUCUUUUUAAGGCAUUAUUGGCCUAUUUAUAAACCGCCCUUGUUAAUAAGUUAUUCCCCAUCCAUGAUCCAUGAUCGGCCACUACUCCUAUUUUCUCGGGCCACCUUCAGCCGAUCGGAACCGCUUGUAACUGUUCGCGGUUACUGUAACUCUCCUUGAUUCACGCGGGUUCACUUUUCGAUGCUCCCGGUGCAGAGCAGAAAUGCCUUUCCUUUAAGGGCCCGUUUGGUUCGAGUUAUGUAAUAUUACAAAGUAUCUCGACAUAUCCAGGUAUCUUGGAUUUCGGCGUGAGAUUACUACUGAUGCUGCAUUAGCACGUUUGGUUUAAUUCAGUAAUGUAAUACUAGAUUACAGUGUUUAUAACAUUAAUACGUUUGGUUCAGUUUAUAAAAUUUAGUAAUCCUGACAUAAAAGUAUAAUUUUUUCCAAAAUUGUCCUUGCCAGAUAGAUGAAAAUAAUGCUGUUAAUUAGAUUUGGGGUUGUUUGAGGGUAAAAUUGUCAUUUUACAUAAUACGUAGUAUUAACGGGUUUCAGUAAUGCAAGAUACACGACCCCCCUCCCGUUAAUAUUUUUGAUGUAAUCCUGCUCGAUUUGUAAUGCUACAUUAACGACUAGAUUAUAUAGCGGAUUAACCAAACACAGUUAUCCUGGCAGGAUUACUUGUAAUCCUGCCAGGAUAACUCGAACCAAACGCACCCUAAAUAGAACCGCUGUGGUGUACCGGGUACCACGUGUCCGCGCCUUAUCGGCCCAACAGUCCGUUUCUUAAAUAUUUUCUUUCUCACAAGUAAUAUCUGCCACUUAGAUAAUAUCCAAUCACAUAAUAUCUUCCGCAUAUAUAAUAUUUAAUCAUAUUUUUUUUAAAAUGUGAAUAUAUAAAAAUUAUCUCAAUUUUAUCUACUAAUAUUUAAAAUAUGAGAUAUUUUUCAAUAAAAUAUAUAACAUAUGAAUUUACAAUUUAAAAAUUUCAAUUUGUAGAUAAAUGUGAUUCACAAAUUUGCAUUGAUUUGAGAUAAUUAUUAAAAUAGUUGUUGACAGACUUUUUUUAAUAGAAAAAAAUAUUGCAUUCCAUUUGCAAGAAUAGAAAAAAAAUUCAUACUUAUCCAAAUUUCUGUCAAUCGAAGGAUAUCUGUUGUAGAAUAUUUUUCACAAGCGCCCCAUAAAAAAAUUCCAUACUCAUCAAAAAAAUGAAAAUCUCUACGCAACAAACAUUGAAAAUAUUUAGUAUCCACUAUCUCUUAAUUAACUAACUAAGAAGAAAUUAGGUUUGAAAAAUAGAAUGAUUUAAAUAAGCUUAUCAAUCAACUUUAAAUUUUAAAUUUGGUUUUCAUAAUUUCAAAUGUGAAUUAAUAUUUUAAUUCAAAAUUUGAAAUUAAUUAAAAUUUUAAUAUUUGUGUGUGUAAACAGUAUUUCAAAUCGAAAAUAAUUAAUUAAGAGAUAGUGAUAUCAAAUUUGAAAAAUAGAUGGAUGAUGUAUAAAUCAAUGUCUCUAAUAAUUAUUUAUAUUCAAAUUAUGGAUUCAAAAUUAAUUUUAAAUUUUGAGUUUUGUUCAUAAAUUUAAAUUUGAAUUCAUUAAUUUAAAAUUUAGAAUUAUUUAAAAUUUUUAAAAUUUGGAUACACAUUAAAAAAAUUAAAGUUAGAAAAAAAUUAAUUGAUAAAUAGAUUUAUACCACCAAUACUUAUUUAAAUUUAAAAUAUAAAUAUAAAUAUAAUUUAAUUAAAUGUAACGUGUAUCGCAUGAAUAUAAAUAUAAAUUUAAUUUAAUUAAAUGUAACAUGUAUCGCAUGUGCAUUAUAACUAGUUAAUUUAAAAUUACGUAUUAUUUUGAUAAAUUUUGCACAUUUUUAUCUAACAAACUUGUGUUGCAUGGAAGGACUUUAUUUUUUUAGGUAGCAUUUGGUUCGGGAGCAAGGGGGGAAUAAGCCUUUGUUUUUCCCUUUGUUCCCAAACGCAGCGUUUGGUACCCAAGAACAGUAGUUUUUGGAUUUCUGGAAUAAGUCGGUAUAAAGCUAGAACUGUUGUUCCAUCUUUUUCCUGGAACAAGCUUGUUUCCAGGUGAAAAUAAGAUUAACUAAAGUUUAAAAAUAAUGUUAAUUAUGGUAUUAAUUAAUUAAUUAAUUUAAUUAAUAUAUUUAAAUCAUUAUUUAAUGAGUAAUAAUAAAAUAAUUUAUUAAUUUAUUAUUAUAAUUAUUAAUUAAAUUAUUAUUAUUUAUAAUUAUUUAUUAAUUUAUAAUUAAUUAUUAAUUAAUUUAUUAAUUUAUAAUUAACUAAUUUAUCAUUUAUUUAUUCUUAAUUAAUUAAUAUAUUAUUAAUUAAUUAUUUCAUUUAGGGGAAACUUCAAAUACAAGUGGUUUCGCACUUUCUCACUUUAGUACCCUUUGAUUUCAAAUGUAUCUAAGUUAGUACCUUGUGGUUUCAACACGUUCUCACUUUAGUACCCGUGGUUUCAAGUGUAUCAAGUUAGAUCCUGUGGUUUCGCACUUCUCACUUUAUGUCUGUGGUUUAAUAUUGUUAAAUUAUAUGCCCGAAUAUGGAUAAUAAAGAGAAAAUUGAAAACGCAUGCGUACUAAAUUGAUAUAAAAAUAAACCAUAAAGCGUACUAACUUGAUACACUUGAAACCACAGGGUACUAAAGUGAGAAAGUGCGAAACCACAAAGGGGGUAUUUGAAGUUUCCCCUUUCAUUACUAUUAUUAAUUAUAUUGAAUUAAUUAAUUAUAAUAUUAUUUAUAAUUAUUAAUUAAUUAAUUUAAUAUUAAUCAAAUAAUUUGAAAUUAAAAUUAUUAAUAAAUUAUUGUUUAUAUUUAUUAAUAAUUAUGAUUAUCCAUUAUUAAUUUAUUAUUAAUUAAUAAUAUAUUAUUUAUAAUUAUUUAUUAUUGAUUUAUUUAUUUAUUUAUUAUUAAUUAACUAAUUUAUAAUUUAUAAUUAUUAAUAAUUUAUUAUUUAUAAUUUAUUAUCUAAUUAAUUUUUUAUUAACUAAUUAAUUCAUUAUUUAUAAUAUAUUAUUUAAUUAUAAUUAUUUAAUUAAUUUAUUGUUAUUAAUUAUUAAUAUUAUUUUAUUAUUUUGAAGUAAUAUUUUGAUGUUUAUUAAUUAGAUAAAAAAAUUGUAAUUUAAAAUUAUUAUUCUUAUUCUCUUUGUUUUAAUCUAAUCAUCUAAACACUAUUAUCUUAUUUAUGGAAACAACACAAUUUUUAUCCAAAUAUAAAAUUAAUAUAAUUUUGUUUAUAUCUGAACUUAUAUUUAUCUCUGAAAUAAGUAGUUUUUAUUUAUAACUGAAUCAAACGUAGCCUUAAACAUGUUCAUUUGUGGUGCAGAUGAUUUUAGCCCCCUCUGAAAUAAGCCGUUUUUAUUUAUACCCGAACUAAACGUAGCCUUAAAUGCGGUCAUUUGUGGGGCGGAACCCCCCUUCUGUGAAUGACGUGGCGGACCGGGUCCAUUUUAAGAGAGAGAAACGGUGCGGACUAAUUCACCUUCCCCUCUCCCUCUGGUUGUUCGUUCCUCGUUCCCUUUCUUAUUAUUGCUCCACUAAUAGAUCCUCGGCCCUCUCAUCCUCUUCCCCCACCCUUCCUCUCCUCAAAUCCCGCUCCCCAAAGAGAGCGAACGAGAGGGAGAAGAGAGAGGACACCGGGAUCUCCCUCGCCAUGGCCGCCACCGAUGGCUUCUCUGACAAGAACGUCGUCUUCAGGAAGCUCAAGGCCAAAUCCGAGAACAAGGUAAUCGCAACCGCCCUCUCGCUCUCGAUUCCGUUAUGUUUUUGCUGGAUCUGGCGCUGGAUCUCCAGAUCCGGUGGGGGAUCUCUCGGAUCUGGUCGAUUGGGUCGUGGAUCGCUGUUUUCUAAUUAGGGUUUCAGUUUUGUUCCAUGUGUUCGGGGUUUUCAGAUGUGCUUCGAUUGCAAUGCGAAGAAUCCGACGUGGGCGUCGGUGACGUACGGGAUCUUCCUCUGCAUCGAUUGCUCUGCAGUCCACCGCAGCCUCGGUGUGCAUAUCAGCUUCGUGAGGUAACUGAUUCCUUCGUCAUUUCUCGUUGAAUCGAGAGAAUUAGGUAGCUUUCGUACUUAAUUUAUGUUUUUGACGUUCACAUCUGAUUAUUAGAUCUCAUCUCCGUGAUCGGGUAAAAAUUAUGGUGGGUCACCGUUCAAAAUGUAUUACUUCUUAGAAUAUUUGAUUGUUGAAUCUAUCUGUAUGCUUGUCCAUGAACUAAUAAUUGUUUAUAUUGAAAUCUGCCUAUCGGUGUGCAUGAAUAUUCGAUAUGAUAUGACAAUGGCUUAAGAUGCAUCAGCUGCAGUAGUAUGAUUGCCACAUGGAUUGCACAAGUGCACAUUUUUUUGCUGGCUGACAUGUGGUUUCGUUUCAGCUGGAUCUUACUAGUUAAGUUUGUUAAUUGUCUUGAUAUUAUGAUUACAAAGCUUACAUUGAGAAAUCAUUUUGUAGUACAUGAAGAGUUGCUUAGUGUUUUGUAAUAGUUAACUUGGUGACGUUGGUUGAGUCCUGGGACUUUGAGAAGGGGGGAAAUUCUCAUUUUCAGAGAUCAUGACUGGUUAUUCAGAUUUGAGAUAUGUGAGUUGUUGUUCCAGCAACGUUGCAUCGAUCUGUACAUCUUGAUGCUACUUUACCUUAAUGCAAUGUAUCGUGUGUUUUAUGAAUGUCUUAAUGCUAUAUGAAGUUUAUGGUCUUUACUUCAAAAUUAUACCGUAGAGGUUUAUCAAAAGUUAUAAAAAAAUAUUAUAAAUGACGAAAACUUGGAAUAUCAAAUCAAUGUUGAUCUGAUCCCUUCUUGAAAUAGAAAAAGGGAUCCUGGACAUGCAACUUCCUCCAUCAUCGAAGUGGCACACAAUUCAUUUAAAGCUAGUCCAACUAUGAAUUGAACGCUAAGCAUUUAGUAUUCCGGAAUAGUGUUAUAGGAGUCCAAUCAUAACCUAAUUAGAUGUGGACAGUCAAUCCCUAUUUAUAGGAGAUCAAUUAGGGCGAAGAAAUAAGAAAAGGUUCGCUUAAUUUCAGGUUAUAUCCGUCUCUAAAAUCAUUUUUUCUAAUGGUGCAACUCCUCAUUUCUAAAGUAUGAUGGCCUAGGUGUAUUAAUUUGGAACAAAUUGCUUUUGCUUCCUGGAAUGUAGUUAUAUGGCGAUGAUCUUUCCACUUACUCAAAUUUGGAUUGGAGAUUCAUUUGAUAUGGGUAAUCAGAUUGAGAUUGAGAUAUGUAGUUGGCAAAAUCUUAUAAACACUUCUGUUUCUAUAUGUAUUGCUUCUUGAAACUUUUCCUUCCAACAUAUCUACACUGAUUUGUGUUUUAUAGGCUGUGGCUGUACCAUGCAUUAAUACACUCCGGAAGUGUAUAACCAUUCCUUGAAUAGUUUAAUCUAAAAUAUAAUUUUACACAUAUAUUUGAUAACGAUAUCUUGUGCUUCACAGGUCAACUAAUUUAGAUUCUUGGACUUCGGAGCAGCUUAAGAUGAUGGCUUUUGGAGGCAACAACCGAGCACAUGUCUUCUUUAAACAGCAUGGGUGGACGGAUGGUGGCAAAAUAGAGGCAAAGUAUACAUCAAGAGCUGCUGAGCUGUAUAGGCAGAUACUAGCAAAGGAAGUUGCUAAAAGCUCUCCGGAUGAUAAUGGUUUGCCGUCAUCGCCUGUUGCAACACCUCAGGUGUCAGAUUCUGCCAAUGGCCUCCCUGAGCUUAAGCUUUCAGAUGCUUCAAAAGAAAAUAUGAAUGAGAAGCUUGAACCUGAGGUCGUUCGUUCGCCUAGAGCCCCUAUUCAUCCGACAAUCAAGAAGCCCAUUGGUGCAAAGAAGACGGGAGGGAAGACAGGGGGACUUGGUGUCCGGAAGCUUACUACAAAGGUUGAUUCUCUCUUCAUUGCUAUAGAUUGUUAACUAAGUGAUGCUCAUUGCAACUAUAUUAUUAUCAUCAUUAGGAAUGGUGUCUCUGUGACCUCAUAUCUCUAUCGUAUGGUUCCAAUCAUGAUAUUCUGUUGGGAGAAUUUAUAGAUUUUACCUGAACUGUAAAGCAUCUUAUAAUUGUUAUCUGAACUUGAGAAAAUUUGAUUUUGCUACCCAUAAACUUGAAAAACUAUGGUUUUGCUACCCGUUACUUUUAAUUUCACAAAAUUUAGCCAUGUUCUAUUAAAUGUGAAAAAAGUUGAUGAAUAUUUUGUUGAGUAACAGAAUAUUUUGAUAGGUUACGGAAUAUUCUGAAAAAAGUUCAAAUUGCUGUUCAGUUCUUACGUAGGGGUAGCUAAAUUAAAUAUAUUAUAAGGUUUGGUAGUGAAAUCACAAUUUCUGAUGUUCAGGUUUGUAUGGAAAUAAGCCAUAUACUUAGCUGUAAUGCCUAUGUUUUAACAUAUGUUGUUUGAUCUAUAAGGAGGCUAUUAAUCAUGUCUUUUAUUUUUGUACUGAAUGAAUAACAUUCUCUUUGUAGUUAUGUAGUCAACAACUGUGCCCUUAUAAUCCGGCUGAAUAUUUGUUUGAUAAGAUUUUUUGAACAUGUUGAAGGAAUGUAUUAACCUUGGCUGUCAUCACUUGCAGCCGAAUGAAAGCCUUUAUGACCAGAAGCCUGAAGAACCAGCACCUGCUUUACCAUCCUUGGCUACUUCCACCACAACAACUGGCCUUUCCUUCCCUUCCCGAUUUGAAUAUGUGGAGCCAUCGGCCGAGACCAGCUCUGGAGGAACUCAAGUGAUUGGCCAUGUCGCACCACCAAAAUCUUCGAACUUCUUUCAAGAGUUCGGGAUGGACGGUGGUUUUCAGAAGAAAACAAGCUCAACUUCAUCUAAAGUACAGGUAACAUCUUAUUAGCUCAUAUAGGCAUAUUUUAAUUUGAUAAAAUUUGAUAUAAGUCCACUUCAACUUUGAGAAUUAUUGGGAGAUUGACACUUGCCUGUUACUAAAGUUUUUAUAGUAUUUUUACUUCUUGAAUAGAUUAAUUAAUUUUUUUUUUCCCAUUGUUUGUACCUCCUGGUUUCUUAACUUUGUAAUGCUAUCAAAAGGCUAUCAAAUCGGCAAUUUUUAUAUCUAGUAUGAAACUGUAAUACAUAGUGUGUUUUAUUAUGAAGCGUAUUGCUCUUUUGUGUUACUUAUGAUUUUGAGCAUUGACUUGUCUUUUCGCUUAUUUGUUUUCUCUUGUUUUUUAUUGAAUAGUUUAUUUUCUCCAUUAGACAUUUUUACAGUACUAUGGACAAACACUCUCCGCCAAUCUAGUUUUAAAGGCACUGUAUUAACGACUUUAUGUGUCUAUGUAGUAACUUAGAAUUGUCACUACGUUAAGACUAUUUCAGCACUUCGUACCAGGGGAUUUAUCAGCUUAAUUAAUUUUUGGGAGCUUGGCAUAUUGUUGGUAUGACUAUAUAUAUUUUGUAAAAACCAUGGAUGUGAACGAGAAAUACUAUAUCAAGCUGGAAGACAUGCAGUGUGACACAUUUGGCACUGACCAAUACAAAUGGUGUUGAAUCUGAACAACCCACCAUUGCCAUCAUUUUCUUCAUUCUUUUGUGGGUUUAUUUUUGUCCCUCAUUUUAUGCUUUUGUUGGAUCUUUGCUUGGUUUAGAGAAAUCUACAUGUACAACCCUACUUUUUCUGGCAAUCCCAUGUGAAUCAUUUUGAGUUUUUCUUUCGCUAAAGUCGUUGUUCACUAUAUAUUGGGAUCAUAGAUUAUUUUGCUAACACUGUUACCUUUUGUCCCUCGGGACAUUUUUACCCUCAUAUACUUUGUAUGUAUAUCCUUGGCUUUUAACUUUUGAAAAGCUUCUUACAUCUAUCUCACUUCUGGUGGUCAUGGCAGCCAUGGUUGGCCUUCAUCUUGUUAUUGCUGCUCUAACUUUGGUCAGGCUUUUGGCUUUUGUUCUGUUUUCAAUAGUCCCAAACUGAGUAUGGUUUGUUUGUCCAAGAAGGCAAACUUCACUCCAUUAAGUGGAUCUUUCUUGUAAUUUUGUCGUGGAGGAUAAAAACAAAAUUAGUAAUAUGUUAUUUGUCCUGAAAUUGAUUGACUACCAAUAGUUCUUUUGAAAGCCAAAAAUGUUUAAUGGCUUUUUUUUUCCCCAUGAAUCCUGAAUCAUAAUUUAAUCCUGAAAUCCUAAUAUUCAAAUGAAUCAGAUCUACUCUCGUCAUAGUCACUCCGUUGUUAAGGUCAUUUAGUGUCCCUUUGUAUUGGUAAUCAGAGAAAAGGUUGGAGGAGGAUAAUAUUAUUCAUCUAUCUUUUUUUUCUUUUUUUUUUCUUCUGUUGUUGUGCCAUUAACACCAGUUACCAUGAUAGAACUUACCUCAUUGGCUUGUGCGCUGCUAAAUGCUGCUGUUAAUUGCACAUAUUGAAUCUGUAAAUUACCAAUUAUUCAAAAUUCUCAUUGUUUUGCAAUCAUAUAAGAGACUAGGCAGUAAUAUUUUAUUAGCUAUUUAAAUCUUAAUUAUCUCCUUUGGUAUAUAUUAUGCAUCUAUUUUUUCUAUUAAAUGUUUAAGUGCUGAUGUGAUCUCUUAAUGAAUUCAUUAAUGCUUCUCAGGUACAAGAAAGUAAUGAAGCAAGACAAAAGUUCUCAAAUGCCAAAUCCAUUUCAUCGGCUCAAUUUUUUGGUGAUCAGAACAAUGCUGAUAAGGAGGCCCAAAUCUCACUUCAAAAGUUCACAGUAUGCCUCUUUUGCCAUUUGCUACUGUUACCUGAAUUAGUAAUAUAUCAAAGAAAGAUUGUGUUACUCCAAAUAUUAGUUCCAUUAAUUCAUUUUACGAUGCUAGCAACCAAGCAACACCAUGUAAACAAUAUUCAUAUGUAGGGAUCAUUGUUCUAGUAGUUAUAGUUGUUCAUGUUAUAAAUGGAUUGAUUUGAUGAGCUGUGGCUCUAUGUUUGAAUUAUUCUUCCCUUUUAGGGUUCAACAUCCAUUUCAAGCGCUGAUCUCUUUGGUCAUGAUAUGGACGAUCCUCGUCUUGACCUCACUGCUGCAGAUCUCAUCAAUCGGCUUUCUUUCCAGGUACCCCUGUUAGUUCUUACUAACAUAUUAUUCUCUGAUAACAUACUAGUGUUCUUAUUAUUUAAGAAAAAGCACCGAAUAACGUUCAAGGAAUAGUGCCGGUCCAAUCUAAGUGGAUAUACGGCGUUUAUUUUGUAUUCUGGAAAGAGCCUAAAAAAGAAGAAAAGAAAGGGGAAAAAGAAAAGAAAACAAAAAAGAAAGAAACAUAAGCAAUUCCACAGGUCCUUUAGCUUCUUCCUCUUAUUUAUCAAUUUUGUGAUGGUUUAUUUGAGAUGAUUCGGAAGUGUUUAUGAGGUGGUACUCAGUCUUUUUUAUUUUCCAAUUUUUUUUUUCAGGCAUCACAGGAUAUAUCUUCGCUUAAGAACAUAGCCGGAGAGACCAGUAAAAAGCUGACAUCUUUAGCGUCGAGCCUCAUUAACGAUCUCCAAGACCGAAUCCUCUGAGUGUAAUAGUACAUGCAUGAGAUGAUAUUCUUAUUUUUAUAAAUUGUCCGAAGGCAAUCCUCUAAAUCUCAGUUCGUGGUCAAUAUAAGGAAACCCUGGAGAUUGCUGCUUUAGCCUGCUGCAGUAAUUUUAUUCCUGUUUUCUUUUUCUGCUUAGAGAGAGACAUUACUUAAAGGUUGUGACUUUAGUGGUGGUACACAUCAUGGCCAACUUUGUUUAAACAUACCGAACUGGGAACCAUAGCAAAAUGUUGUGUAUUUUGAUUAUUAUUAUAAUUGUUUUACUAUUAUUGCAUCUCUCUCGGUGCAUUCUUGAAGAUCGGUCUUUAAGUGAUUAAAUCAGUAUUUGAUUCCAUUGGAUGGUUGAGAUGAUUGUUAUUUCUAUUUAUUUUGUGUUAUUUUUAUUUUCUGUCCUGUUAUCACUUUUCGUUGGCUGAUGUUGUGGAUGAAUUUCAUAAUUUUUUCCUCUCAACUUUGUUAUCGUCCUGCGCCAUUGUAAAAUCGUACGGCCUUUCCCUAGAAAUAAUUCAGUGAGAAACGUUAAUAAAGAAAAAUUUUGCUUGGAAUGUUAUUUAAGUAUUUUGCUCCAUAUAUGGAGGGCUGUUUGGUUUUACGUAAAAUUAAGAAAUAUAAUUUGGUGGAAAAAAAAUUCGGAGUUUGAAGAGUUUUACGGUAUUUAGGUAUUGUUUAGUUAAUUAUAGGAAUUAAAAAUAAAGUUUUUAUAUUUCAUUAUAGUAGGUUGGUAUAAAAUUCUAAAUAUUUUGAUAUGUUUUACUUUGGUUUUCAGUAUUUGGAUAAAAUAUUGUAUUUUUCACAAAAUUAAAAAAAUGGCUAAUAUUUUAUUUUUUAGCCGUUAGUUUUUUCAAAAACUAGUCAGGGUCUUUUGAAGCUCAUGCUAAGUAUUCAUAAUUUAUCCAAAGCUUGUCCAAAAAAAAAUAAAGUCUUAUAAUGUUCAAAGCUGGUCAAAUUAGUUGUUAUGAUGACGCAGAAAUAAUAAAAUAGCUUAAUUUAAAAGUGGUCAAAUUAGUCCUCAAGUGAUUUGACUCAGUCAAACUAAAUGUUAGAGGAGAUUUUUUUUUUUAUUUUAAUAAAGACCUCAGCCUCUGUAUAAUACAUAAAUCUUUUGCUAGGAUGAGCAUAAAUCUUUUCUUAUAUAUUCAUUUUAUCUAUAUUUAAUUUUCCUAUACCUUUGUAAGAAUUUAUGGAUCAAAAUUAUUUGAGAGGAAUGCAAGAAGAUAAUGAUUACUAGAAAAAAAUGCAAAAAAUUAUAAUGAGUUCGUGGUCAUUUUUUUUUUCUACGAUAAACAAUUGUGCUGCAAUGAGAGCAUCUAUUUACCCUCAGUCAAACGGGAGCGUGUUAUGCUAGUGAAGUUUUCUAAGGUCAUGAACUUAGAUACAAAAGAGGGUUUCGAAUAAAUUGCCAUAAUUUUCAUGCAUUACUGAAAUAGUUCAAAGACAAAGAUCUUCUGCGUGGCACCAUAUACGUCACCGCUGAAAAGUAGGUAACUAUAUUUUUAUACACAUCAGCAAAAAAUGCAAGAAAUCGGACUAUACAAGAAUGUUUUCAGCAUAGCGGUAAAAUUGCUAGUCGAUAUAAAUCUUUCUUAUAUAUUAUUUUUAUCUAUAUUUAAUUUUUCUAUACCCUUUGUAAGAAUUUAUGGAUCAAAAUUAUUUGAGAGGAAUGCAAGAAGACAAUGAUUACUAGAAAAAGAUGCAAAAAAUUAUAAUGAGUUCGUGGUCUUUUUUUUUUUCUACGAUAAAGAAUUGUGCUGCAAUGAGAGCAUCUAUUAUUCACCCUCAAUCAAACGGGAGCAUGUUAUGCUAGUGAUGUUUUCUAAGGUCAUGAACUUAGAUACAAAAGAGGGUUUCGAAUAAAUUGCCAUAAUUUUCAUGCAUUACUGAAAUAGUUUAAAGAGAAAGACCUUCUACGUGGCACCAGAUACGUCACCGCUGAAAAGUAGGUAACUAUAUUUUUAUACACAUCAGUAAAAAAUGCAAGUAAUCAGACUAUACAAAAAUGUUUUCAGCAUAGCGGUAAAAUUACUAGUCGAUAUUUUCACUAAGUGCUAUAUAUGAUUAUAUAUAUCAGUUCCCACAACCUAUCUUCCCCCCCCCCAAACCAAAAAAACCCAAAAAAAUAUAUAUCAUAAAUAGUUAAAAAAAAUUUCUUAUUUUGAGGGGCGCUUGAAAUUUUUUUACUUUGGCAUCAAAUUUAGUAUUGAAAAUGAGUAUUUUACUUUUGCAUUUAAUUCAGUAUUGAAAAUGAGUAUUCUAAAAAUAAUAAUUGUUUCGUUACAAAUUUCACAAUUAUAUUCUUGCUACGACGAGAGAUGGAGCCCACUGCCCUUUAUUACAUUAUACACUAAUUAACCCCACACACAGGAUCAAAUCCUUCUCCUUUUGAAACAUAUCUUCAACAAAUCUCUUUAAUUCUAGGUGGGUUACCUCAUUUAUCCAUCUUUUCUAUUAUGCCUCUCUCUUUGUGCUAUCAUCUCAUUCUCUUCUAUAAAUUCAUUAUUUCAUGAAGGAGAGGUUAUGAAAAGUUAUGACAUACAAGAGGGUUUUGUAAGGCCAAUUAGGGCACAUGUAUAUAGGAGGAGAAGGAAAGGGGGAAGAGAGAGAGAGAGAGAGAGUGUGUGUGUGUAUGUGUGUGUGUGUGUUACUUGAAGCCAUUCAUGUGAGGAGAAGAGGCGACGAGAUUGGAGUGUUUGGAGAAGGGGGCGAGGGCGAAAUGCAAAAAGUGCGAGCAUAGGUGUUCAGUGACAAAUAGAGAAGCCAUUCAUGUGAGGAGAAGAGGCGACGAGAGUGGAGUGUUUGGAGAAGGGGGCGAGGGCGAAAUGCAAAAAGAACGAGCGUAGGUGUGCAGUGACAAAUGGAGAAUUAUUUUAUAUCGUUUCAAUCACUUUUUUAUUUUUUUUCCCAAUUUUAUUCUACAAUUCUCACAUUACAUAGUAAUUUUUUUUUAGCUUAUUAGGCUAUCCAUGCUAGCUAACAAAAAAAGAAAGUUUUUUUUUCUUUGAAAAACAUAGCAAAUUGGCCUAUUAUAGAGUAGGGAGAGUUUCCCAAAUGUGUAGUGUGCUGGACCUUCACAAAUAGACAAGGUUGCAAUGUAAGCUAAUGGUCAGCAUGUUUGUAGAGUGCUAGAUUGAGUUGGAGCUAUUUUGGCGUGAAAUAGACACACAAACAAGUUCUAAAUGUUGAAAUGUAACGUAUUGAAAUCUCGAUAAAAAAAUAGUGAACUUUAGCCAAAUUGACUAAAGUGUGCGAAUGGAUUAAUUGGGCGAGUUCCAAUUAACCUACCAAUAGUGUUGGAGGGCUAAAAAUGAGUUUAAGAGGUGUUAGAAAGGUUUUAGUAUCGAUCGGUGCGAAAUAGAAUCGAAAACGGUGCAAAAUCAGCAUUCUGGGCAAAGUGUACCGGUACAACCAUCGAGUUGUCACCGGUACAGCCUUGCAACCCGAGAAGAAAUUGCUCUCGGAUUUGAUUUUUCGCAAAAAUGUACCGGUACACCCCUGGUGUGUACCGGUACACUUUGGUAAAAUCCGAGGAGGCUGCCCUUGGGUUGCCUCUGCGCAGAAAAUGUACCGGUACAAAAUCCCGUGUACCGAUACACUUUGGUCUCGUAGCAACAAUGAGAUCUGCUGCAAAUAGAAAGAAGUGGAGGGUUUAUUUGUAAUUGUUACAACAUAUUAAUACCCCAAACACCCUCCCCUCUCUCUUUCAUAGCCCACACCUCACUCCCUCUCAUUUCUCUCUUUCUCUCUCUAGAAACCUCUCCAAGGAGCAAAGAGGAGUAGGAGAAGAAUUUUUGGAGGGUUUUGGAGCUUGGAGAAGAUCUAAAACUCUCCUACAGGGUGGAUAUUGGUGAGCUUUGGGCAAAGAUGAGGUUUUUAUGAAAACCUAGACUAGGGUUUGGGUUUAUGUCCUAGAAAAACUAGGUUUUGAUCUUCUAAUGAGUAUAGAAACCUAGUUGGAGCUAUAAAACACAUGAAACCCUAGUUUCUUCAAAGUGCUCUAAUGAUGGAUUUCUAGGGUUUACUUUAUAUGCCCUAGAAAUGGUUUGGAUGAUUCUAAAUGAACUUCUAGAGGUUAGACAAUCUCUCUUUUGCUUGUUUUAGAGAUCAAAAUCUAGAAUUUAGCAAAUGGCAAUGUUAGGGCAUCCAAUUUGAGGCUUUUGCCUUAGAAUAUUUCUAAGGCAAAUUGACCUUAUAGAAACCUAAUUGGGGGUAUUCCCGAUACGUUGGGCAACUUCGUUUGACGUUACGAAAAGGUCUAGAUAAAGUUAUUGAGAAAAAGCCUAAUUUGGCUUCGUUUUGCCGUAGGCGAAAAAGUAAGACUUCGAAAAUUCUAAGAAAUUCACCGUAGCACCUUUGCAACCAUACAAGGUGGGUGGUGCAUUCCGAAGACCUCGAAAUUCCUUUUAUGUCUAAAGUGUAAUAUUUGAGCAUGUGUAUUGAGCAUAAAAUUUGCAUAGUAGGGUUAUAUGUGAGCAUUUCAUUGCAUGUUGUGAGUACAAAUGCAUAUGAGUUACUAGCAAGAAUGUGAGAAUUUUAUAAACCCUAUUUAUGCAUGACAAGUGACAAGAAUUUAGUAGACUUAGUAAACAAAUGUGACAUCUUGAUAUAGAAGUAGAAAGUGACAUUGAUGAGUCGGGAAUGCUAGAGUUGAAACACUUAGAAAAUAAGUGUGGCAUGUGUACAAGAAUCAGGGACGAAGCCAGAAAUUAAGAUUCAGAGGGGCCAAAAUUUAAAUUUGAUAGAAAAAAAUUUGACCUCUAAUAGUAAGAAAAAAAAAUUUGUCAGAUUCAUUGAUCAGUUAUUACUAAUAACAAUAACGACAAUAUACUCAGAGAGGAACAAGACUGUAAGAAUUGAAGGGAAUGACCAAAAAAUUUGAAAAAAAAAUUGAGACAAAUUUUAUUAAAAAAUUUAAUUUGGCCCCCUAAAAUUAAAAUCUAUAAUAUUUUAAUUUUUAUUAUAAAGGACCUUUAUGUAAUUUUAAAAAAUUAAGGGGGGCCAUGGCCACUGUGGGCUCCUCAAUGGCUCCAGCCCUGACAAGAACAUAGUAGUGUAUAUGACACUAGUAAAAGUAAAGAAUUCAAGUAAAGGAGUGAUAGUGACAUUAUGACAAUUUCAACCUCAGAGUUAAGGGUCAUAGUGCAUGGCUUCCUUAUAGUUAAGGAAUGGAUUGAGCUUGAUAUCCUUAUAGUUAAGGAUUGGAUCAUACUCACCUGUAAGUCCUUACUCGAGGGUGGUAGCUCCCCCUCAGGCGAUGUGCUCUGGAGUUGUCAUCACUGGGUCGUAGUAGUCUCCCCAGAGGACGGUCCCGUCGGAUGUAGUAGUCUCCCCGACUAUUGGAAUUUGAGUUGGUGAGUCUAUUGUGGGCGAAAUCUACGGGCUAGCCUAGAGAUUGGGUUCUGAGCAGUAACCUUGCAUUCAUCAUGAGUACUUUAUUGAGCAUAGCAUUAUUUAUUGUUCAAGCAUAUUAGCUGCAUUUGCUUUAGCUUGGUUACUAUCUAUCUAUUCUUCUAUUAUGCCUGAUUUAGACCUAGUGGGAAAGUCGGCGUUGCCGGUUGCCGAACCCACUGAAAACUUUGUUGUAGUUCUCACCCCAAUAUUUUCACAGAGCCGGGACUGAGCGAGCCGGCGGACGAUCGCGGUAAAGGUAUUGCGCCAUAGAUAGAGACCUCCCGGGCGGAUUUUCUUUUGUAGUCGCAUACCUCUUUAUACAUCACCUUUUUGUAUUUUGAUGACUAUAGAUGUUAAAGGAAAAAGAUUAUGAAUGAUGUAAAAUACAUUCUAUAUAUCAAUGCAAGAACUUAUAUUUUGAGAUCAUGUGAUGUAAAAGAGAAGAAAUGAUACAAAAAUAUAAAUGAUUUCCUAAGUGUAGUUUACUACUUUCACUAUUGGCUAUCGCUUGCCCUCGUGCAAGUCAUUGUGUAUGCUUCCGUUUUGUGCAAAAUUCAUACUCUAUUUGUACAGGAUGUUGAGCCUUGGGCGGACAGAGAAAAUUCUGUCCGUUCGGCGUCUGUUUGACGGGUCUGAACCGGCCAAAUAGGACCGGGUUCGGGGCGUGACAUGAAAUAUGCUGAAAUUGAAGUUUCAUGCUUUUUUGGAUGCCCGGAACAAGGUUAGAGCGCUUGAAAGUGGCGUACAGUGGUAAUUCCGGAGUAUAGUUGUUGAUGCCCAGAGAAGUCCUAGAUGGACCCGGAUGAUGGAGUCACUAUUCAUGCCAUGAUUCAGAUGCUCAGUAUUACUGUAGCAACCGAAAGUGGGUUGAUGAGUUGAUUUGACUUAGGUGGUGAGCAGAUGACUAAGCGAACAGACUUACUACGUUUCGAACAAAGGUCCGGGCUUCUGAAAAUAUCUGGGCGCAACUAUGAUGGGUUCAGUCCUCCUAUCGCAGUUGGGGAGCACUCGAAAGCUUUUGGCUGCGAGAUUUUGAAUGACCGAAUGAUGGUUCCCGAUGCUUGAAAUCGGCUUUUGGGCAGAGGUUUGAUUUUUUGAGAUUUUGUGGGAUUUUUUGCCUUUGUGCUCAUCUAUAAAUAGCAUAGGGAGGCUUGUCUUAACCUCUUUUUACAUCCUCAUCCAGCUAAGCUACUUUUUCUUUUUUUUUUUUCUUCUUCGUCCUUCCUUCUCAAUCAAGCUUGGAGCCCCGCUUGAUGUGAGCUCUUUCCAUGUUGGAGAUGGCCUAACUGUGAGAGGAACUUGUAGGGUGAGGAGGAGGAGGAGAGGUGGAGAUGAUUAUCUUCACAAGAUCCUUGAGGUAGGUAUUGUUGGGUUUCAUGGAAUUUUAUUCAGAUUUUAGUUGACGUUGAAUUUAGAAGUAGGUUUAUUGAUGGUUUUAGGAGUUGAGUUUUCGGGAUUCCCCAGUUGAUUUUGGUGCUGUGAGGAGGAGAUUGUCGAGCGUGCUUUUUCUACCUUUUUUGGAAUAGUUUAUUCAAGUGGGUUCUAUGUUGCCGAGCAUGGCGGACUACUUUUAUGUCUUUUUUGCAUGCUUGAUUAUUACGUUGUCAAAUAGUUUUGUACAACAGUGGUAGCGUAAGGACACUUAUAUUAGCAUGAUUUUGUUAUUUGGGCAACUUAUCAGUAUGUGGAUUAUUUGUAGAUUUUGGUAUUCCUACUGUUUGAAAUCAUGUUUACAUAUAUACUAAUGAUAUAUUAUUGUAUGCAAAAAUGGGAAAAAAUGCCAUGGGAUAAGUUUUUUUUUGAGAGAUAGGUAGCAUGCUACCCGCUUCAUUUAUUUCAUUUAGAAAUAAACUUAGCUAGAAAUGUGAAUCAACUAGGAUUCGAACUUGGGACCUCGGGUUCCAACCACCAAGCCCUUUGCCACUUGCGCUAUGGAUGGUCGGUUGCCAUGGGAUAAGUUGGUCGUGAUAGGUAGUAUGUGACUGUGCCAGAGGACACCUUGAAAGUUGAUGGUGAUAUUUAUGAUCAUUGCAUUUGACUAUAGCCAACAAAGCCAUAUUGAGCUUUACAGAGAUAUAUAAUACUCAAUGGAGUUCGCCCCUUGAGUGCCCCUCCAAAGGCCGGCUAAUAUAGAUGUGCUAGGCAUCCUAUGUGUUGACGGGCUACCUACAAGAGUGGGACAGGGCAAUAGAUAGGCGUAGGUUUAACCAGACUUAUGAGUUGGUCAUUAUGAUUGGAUUAUGCAAUAUUCUUUUAUCCAGUAUGAUAGUUGGUGCAUGAUAUAUGAUCUUUUGCUUUCAGUGUUAGUAUGUAGGAAUGGUAGUUAUUCUUAUUUAGUUGAAUUUAUACUUUGUUAUUUCCUCAUGUCAAUUCAUACAUAUACAAGCUGCUAUACAAAAAUAAAUAUCUACUAGUAGGAGUCCUCCUCUAGUCUGAACAACACUGAUAGGAGAUGCUAUAUAUCUAGCUUGCUAACCUCAUUGACAUAGAAUUAGUUAUAAACUAAUUGAUGUCCCUUCAACAUCUCUCCUAAUCCAAAUAGGAUUAUCAUUCUCUCGCUCAAAAGUGUCUUCUAAAUCAACCAACAUGUGCGGAUUUUUCUCUAUUCCUAUUCGUACAUCAGUUUCAGAAUAAGUUUCAGAAUACAUCUCUCCCAUGUCAAAAUGUCUCUAGGUUUCAUUGGCCUAGGAAUAAACCAAUCAUUAUCUUUCCGAUCUUGAACAAAUAUCACUUGGUGAGCUUGAGAUGCGAAUAUAAAUGGUUUAUCACUAAGGCGAUCGCCCGUGUGUAUCAAAUGAGAAAAAUUGAUGAGUUUAAACCCUAUUGCCUCUUGCUUUAAUCCUUUACCACGGUUUACAUCGGCCCAAUCACAUUUAAACAAAUAAUUUUAAGUCCAUCAUAAUAAUUCAAUUCAAUAAUAUCAGUUAGUAAGCUGUAAUAAGUAACAUCUUCAAAAAUAGGCCUUGAGUCACUAGUACUCGCAUAGUUUUGCAUCUUAGAAAUCACCUUAACUCCACUAUUUUGAGUAUUCAUAUCAUUUUUGUAUUCUUUGAUUCAAAAUCUAUAGCCAUUGCUGACAUCAAAAGCUUGGAACCGUCCUGUAAUAUAAUUUGGUCCACGAGCAAGCUAUCUUUUAUCUUCAGUAAUUCAAUCAUCUGCUUCAUUAUCCAAUUCUUGAACCUAAAAUAUUAAAAGUAAAGUUUUGAUUGGCUAAUAUCAAAUAAAAAUAAUUUAUAGUUCAAAAUAAUUUUUAUAAGAUAGUAAUUAAUACUUACAUGUUCCCUAAACCACUCGUGGAACUUAUCGCAGUGCAAGCGAUCUAUAUCAUGUUGUGCCACUUGACUACACUGAUUUAUCCUCUUGAUUGUAUUUAUAUGUGUAGUGUUCCAGAGGUUUGGAGAGGAUUGGCUACAGUAUUAGUGACUGGUCGACACCUCUGGAGAGUGUCAGACUGAGUCGGAGCCGUUUCUGCACGAAAUGGAUGCAGAAAUAGACUCGGCGCACUCAAAGGAGUAAAACUGGAGUUUUGCCAGUUUCGGGCGCUUAGAACAAGGUUUGGGUCGCCCAAAACUCAAGUGCUGAACUGAGCAGAAUUGGAAGCCAAUUCGGAUCCUAGUUUCGGGCGCCCAAAAGUGGGUCCGAAAAUUUACUUCGUUAGUAUCGUUUGCGUUGACAUGUGGCUGGUGGUAGGUGAGGUCCGCCGGAGUCGGAUAUGGGCGUAGCACACCGCAGGCGGAGGAACCGAAGGGGAUCUUUUGUGCAGCCUGGAGGUUUCGGACACCAAGAACAUGAUUUCGGGCGCCCGAAAAUAUGCGUUUUUGCAGGGGCAGCAGAUUGGAAAUGUUUGCUCUUGAGGCUUAUUUCACCCCUUCAACACCCUAUAAAUAGGUAGUGUUCGACCACAGUGAAGCCUUCUCGUUCCUUCUUCACAGAGAAGCUCCAUUUUGCACCUAUGUCCCUUAAUUUACUCCAAAUUCCACAAUUCCAAGCUUGAGGAGUGCUGAUUCUGCAGAUUUCCAAUAGCGACGUUUAGCGUUUUGGCUCGUGUGCGACGUAGGAAGCUCCGUUUGCUGUGAAACUUGGUUUGGUGGAUCCUGGACUUCAAGAGGAAUUCAUGGAGCCAUUUUGGCAGAAUUUUAUUGAGGUUAGUUUGGUCAAAUUGCUGUUUUUCUGGACUAUUGCAGUAUUGAAGCUGAAAAUUAAGUUUUGUGGAUUUUCAUGAUGCAAUCUUUGGAGGAAGAUGGAUUUUGGACCUGAGGGUGAUUCUCCAUCUUAGUACAUAGGUUUUGGAACCUUGCUUCACCAGAUUUGAAGAUCGAAAGGUGAAAUUGACAUUGAGAUUGAAGAAGUUUGAGCGUAGGGGCUGAAUUUUAGUAUAUUGAUAGCUUUCUUGGUUUUGUUGUUUUAGUUUUUGGAGAAUCCUUGCUGCUGGUCCAGGGGUGGUUUCGAUUGUGUAUUCCAGUGGCUUCGCGACUUCUAGCUAUGCCGUGGAUUAGCGCUAGAGGUGGGAUAAUGUUAUGCUUACCGUAUUUCGCGGAUUUCCUCCUAAGUUGUAUUGUUGUCAGCAUGAAUGUUGGUUAUCAUGUAUCAUGCUAAUUAGCUCAAGUUAAUGGAUUUGCAUGUUUAGUGAAUCUGAAUUUUAGAGCUUAAAUGUUAGUUAAAUAUACAUGCUGGACUUGAAAAUUGAUUUAGGAGAAAACUGACGUUUCUACACUGUCACAUGUUAAAACUACCAGAUUUAGUUUUAGGAGCUGUAGUUGUUUUGUAUCACCGCAGUAUGAGGGCGGUGGAUAGCCAGGAUAGUGUAGAUUGUAUUUACGCUCGUGCUGGGAUGCCGAGCUUAUUUUUACAGCAGUGAUUAGGCUGUUCCGGACUGUCGGGUGCCGUUGUGGUUAACGGUGGACCCAGAUUGCUAUUUUUGCAGCAGAUUGUGCCAAUGGCACAUGAGUUUGGUUGUUAGAUCAGUGUAACCCUGUUUACUUCGAUCAUAGCCUGUGAGAGCCUGAUUGAGCUCGAUAGAGAUACGCUUGCAUACUCUGUUGGGUAGCGCCUACGAGUGCCACUUCGGAGUCGGGCUUUGUGCGUUUACGUUGGUGUCGUUUUGUCCUGGUUGGACUUGUUGAUCUCCACGGACUGCUUAGCGUGGAGGUAGCUGUAUAGCUUCGACAGGCGGGACGGGUGUGCUCACAGUCCCUGGGACGGGUAUGUUUACAGUUCCUAGUGAGAUUGGGUCAGAGAUGGUUUUGUUAUACAGAUUGUUAGUGUUGGAUCAUGAUAGUAUAGUGGCAUGUAGCUAUAGAUUGUUUCUAGUUUUCUUCUAUCAUUGUGUAUCCCUUCUGUAGACUUAGUGGGUGAGCCGUUGAGGUCGAUAGCGGUACCCACUGAGGACUACUUUUUUUUGCAGUAGUUCUCACGCCCAGUUGUGGAUCUUUUGCAGAGCCUUCUGUUCCGGCUGCUGCUACUACCGAGAUUGAUUGUGGCAAUGGCAUUGCGAGUUAGAGCCCUUCCAGACGAGUCGCAGAGCUAGAGAAGUACCAGCUAUAGGUAGUUGUAGUUUUUGGUUCUUUACAUACGGAUGUUGUACCUCGCUGGAGCGAGUAUUUUUUAUACCCGGAUACUAUGUAUGUAUUGAACCACUGUUAUUAUAUGUUUUACUUUUCCUAGCAGCUCUAUAUUACUGGUUGUAGUGUUGUAUGAUUACAAGUACAGCUUCGCUUCGUAUAUAGGAAAAUUUUUUUGUAUACGGCGGAUUUGUCGGUGUGCCCGGGGAAACGAGUAAUCCGGGGCAUGGCAAUAUGUUCUCUACAUAUGUAAAGGAUAUUGGUAAAUAUAAAUCAAUAUAAACUUUGCAUAUGUAAGCCUUUUUUUUUUGUGUUAUUCACUUACUUUCGAAAGGACUCAAUGACAUCAGAAUUACUGUUGAAGAGAACAUAUCGAUGUGCUUGUAUCCACAUUUUCUCAUCCAUCAUAAAUGCUUGAAUUUUUUCAUAAGGCCUCCAUACAUUAGGGAACAUACUAAAUUCCCAACCCAAAUCAUCUCUAGUAUCUACACAAUUGUUGAUAUUGUGAGUACUGCGAUUUUUCCUACAUAUGUUUGAUAUCGUUUUAAAUGUUGUCGUGUGCAUUUUAAUUUUGCGCUUGACCAUCAAAUUUCAGUAAAAAAUGAUUUAAAUUAAAAUUUUUACACGAUUAUUACUUUUCACUUAAAGUAAAUAGUAACCUGCAUUUCUGGCGAUGACCGGGGAGAGAAGUGGGCUUCGGACGUGAAUCGGACUCCAUUUUGUAGUGUUCCUGGGGUUUGGAUAGGAUUGGCUACAGUAUUUGUGACUGUUCGACACAUCUGGAGAGUGUCGGACUGAGUCGGAGUCGUUUCUGCUCGAAUUGGAUGCAGAAAUGGACUAGGCGCACUCAAAUAGGUGAAACUGGAGUUUUGCUAGAUUCGGGCGCCCAGAACAGGGUUUGGGCCGCCCAGAAUUUGAGUGCAGAACUGAGCAGAACUGGAAGCCAAUUCGGAUCCAUGUUUCGGGCGCCCGAUUUUGGGUCUGAAAGUUCAGCAACAUUUGUGCUAGACGGGUGUGUUCACAGUCCCUAGUGAGAUUGGGUCAGGAUUUACUUUUCUACAGAUUGUCAGUGUUAGAGCAUGAUAGUAUAGUGGCAUUUAGCUGUAGAUUUGUUCCAGCUUUCCUUGCUAUCCCUACUUACUUCUGUAGACUUGGUGGGUGAACCGAUGAGUUUGAGGGCGGUACCCACUGAGGACUACUUCUUUUGCAGUAAUUCUCACGUCCAGUUGUUUUCCCUGUUUUUGCAGUGCCGUCGUCUUCGGCUGCUGUUAUUGCUAAUUCUAAGCGUGGCAAGGGCGUCGCGAGUUAGAGACCUUCUAAACGAGCCAAAGCUAGAGGAGUAUCAGCUACAGGUAGUUGUAGUUUUUGGUCCUUUACAUACAGAUGUUGUACCUCGCCUGAGCGAGUAUUUUUGUACCAAGAUGCUAUGUAUGUAUUGAACCACUGUUUUAUAUAUGGUUUAUUUUUCUUGGCAGCUCUAUACUACUGUUUGUAGUGUUGUAUGAUUACAGGUACUGUUCUGUUUCACUUCGUAUACAGAAAAAAUUUAUAUGUAUACGACGGGUAGGUUAGCAUGACCGGAAAAACGAGUAAUCCGAGGCGUGACAUGUUUUGGAUGAUACAAUAGCUCAUUUUCGAUGGUCCAACUAUGCUGGAGCCAAUGGCAUUGAUAGAUUGUAUGUUUGACAUACAGUUUUCAAGAAAAACAGCAUUUAUCGCUGGGAGGGCUUUUAUUCUGGGUUGUUCUUGCUUUUCAGAAGUGAUCGGUGCUCCGUUUUGAGAGAAAACUCGCGAGCAGGGACCUUUCUGCGAGAGAAACGUAAUGGAAAGGGACUAAAAUACAAAUUUUGAGAGUUGGGGGACCUUGGAGCUAUUAUUCUCCAAGAAUAUUGGAUUUUAAGUUUUGAAUUAAGGUAGGAUUUGGGAAUUUUGAAUUAAGGUGCGAUCGUCUAGCUGUAGCUAGGAAUUCGGGAGAACUCCCAAUCAUACUCCCUCACCGAACAGUUUCCUUACCAUAGCUUCCAGAACUCGUCCUGAAGCUUUCUCUUUUCACUGUCGGGGAGAUAAGCAGAUGUUACUAAUCUCCGUAACUCUUCCCAAGUUAUAGGAGGAAGACAGGGCAAUAGGUCCCGCCUGACAUCCUUCCAUCACACCUUUGCCGACUGUUCCACAUAAUGCGCGGCUAGGAGGACCUUGUCCCGCUCCAAGGUAUAUAAUCCUCAAAGAGAGUUUCCAUAGAGUCGAUCCACUCUUCCACGAUCCAUGGAUCCGCAUUCUCUCCAUCAAAGGUAAGUAGAUUAAACUUCCCGAAGGUCAAGAGGGCCGCUAAAGCUCGCUCCCUCACUGCCUCCGGCACCUCAUUAUCGGGAAUCGGACAGCCCGACCCCGACGGAAAAGUCUCUGCUGCAACUCCCGGCCGAACACUACAGGCCGCAACUAGUUCGAUCACCAGCUGAACCACAAUUUCUUGGAGUCUCUCGACCCACUCCCUAAUCUGCUCAUCGCGACACAGCUCUACUCUAACGAGCACAGCCAACUGUCCACAGAGUUCCAUAACUCCGCUCGCAGCGAAUCACUUGGGUCACGCCGACCCCGUACGUUCACACCCCACCAGAGGUCACCCGAACGAUACCAUGACUUAGGUCAAAUCCUCGGCCUUCUAGGUCAUACGCAAAACGGCUUCCAAUACUUCACUAAAUUAGGCGAAAGUUACACAAGGGAGCCUAUUCUCAUCACUAGGUUUCAUGUUGUACACGCCCAACAUGAACACACUCGGCUGAGAAUAAACCGCACCUUGAAUCUACCUCUAACAUCUACUAGAGACAUUCUCACAACUAUACCCAAUUGACUUAACUUCCGCCACAAGUCGUAGGUCAGCGUCACUUACGCAUCUACGUCCUUAUGGUUACCGUCCUAGGAUCUCCUAAGUCCAUCCUAGAUUUCUCUCUUCUACAUGCUUUGAUACCACGCUCUGUCACGCACCACGCCCCGCAACCGCCUAUUUGGUCGGUUCGGGCGCGCGGGCGGACUGUCGAACGGACAAAGUUACCCCUGUCCACCCAAGGCUCAACAAACAUCAUGUACAUCUAGUUUGCCCAGGUAAAACAUGAUCAACAUAUAUGAACUGCGUGAGAAUAACACAACAAGAGCAAGAGAGAAAUACUAGUUAUUACAUUCCACAUCUGAUUAUAUACAUUCAUCCACCAAAAUACAUCUAUUUUGUUUACAUGUUUUGUUUUAUGAUACAUAUACAUCUCUCUAAAAGUAACCUCGCUUACAAUACAUCACAUCUCUCAAUAGGUAUAUUGUAAGGAAGUAAAUUCUCGAAAUACGAGAGUUGGACUUCGGUUAGAAUUAACUGAUUGUCGACUUGGUGUGCUUUGGAAAAGCCGAAGGCAUCAAAAUGGCCAAAGGUGCAUUGGAAUGGAGUCCGCGAGAGCAAAUGAUGUGAAAAACCUGCAUUUGGCAGAUUUGCUCUCGGGGACUGGUCCCUGACGGGAGGGACCGGUUCCUGAACAUAGUCUGCGCAGGUUUGCUCUCGGGGACUGGUCCCUGGCAGGGAGAGACCGAUCCCAUCGGUUGGUGGUUGCGUCGACGCGUGAUGCAGCCGGUCCCCGCGCCAGAGGGACUGGUUCCCGAAUGCGCAGAUUUGGGGAGGUCCUGAGCGACCGGUCCCUAGUAGGGAGAGACCGGUCCCCGUAGCCCGAAAUUGCCCAAGAUGGGCUGUGUCUUGAAGGCAAAGUUGAGGGGUUUUUAUGCAAUUGUAGCAUAAGUGAAGGCUAUAUGAGAGCUCUCUCUCUCUCUCUCCUCUCAUUUUCUCAACCCUAAACCUAAACCUAAGCCUCUCUCUCUCUAAUCUCUCUUCCUCUCUCUCUAGAAGGUGAAGAAGAGAAGGGAUUUGGUGGAGAAGCAAGCAAGAAGAGGGAUUUUCAUCAUCUUCUUCUUCCUCUACACCUUGGAGCUAGCUUUUGGAGGUAAGCUUGAAGGUCAAUCAUGGUGAACUUCUAGGGUUUGGACUUUAUACUCUAGAAUUGGUUUAAAUGGAACCCUAGCAUGCUAAGGAGAUGCUUUAUGCAUGGGUUUGAGGAUUUAGAGUUUGAUUCUUGCAUGAUUGCAAGUUAGGGCUCCAAAAUGGGGGUUUUGUGAUUUGUAGGGUAUUGAUCUAAAUUGAUCAAGUGUAAACCUAAUUGCUAGGUGUUUAAAUGCGUUCGCGAAGACGGUUCGACGAUUCGUCGAGCGGGUGCAAAGUUAUCGGCGAAAGGGAACUUUCGAGUUUCGUUUCCGCCUAGGAGGUCGAGACAACAUCGUAAAUCGGUGAACUUCAUUCCUAGAGUUGUGACAAUGCCAGAAGGUAGGUGGUGUCAUCCCGAAGCAAACGGGCUCUUCUUUAUGUUUUAGUGCAUUUUAAAUCUUGCAUCUCUUGCAUAUAUGCAUUGUAGGAUAAAUGUGCAUUUUCAUUUCCUUAUGCUUUCCUAGAUGAUAUCAUAGUGUGAGUUGAAUGCUUGAUAUAGUGGAUAGAUAAGGAUUGGGUCGAGACAUCGAAUCCUAUAGUGCUGAGAUAAGAGAUGGACUCGAUGGUUGAUAAGACAUAACGAGUGGCAUGUAAAUAACAAUGACAACAGAACGAGUGGCAUAUAACUUAGUGUAAAAAUGACACUUGACAUGUGAACUUAGGGAUAGGUGAAUUCCCUAGUGAUGAGUCAUUGAAUAAGAACUUAGUUUAGUUAAACACUUGCAUAUGGACAUUGGGAUAGGUGGAUUCCCGAGUGACUGUUAGCCCUAGUGGAUAGGGUAUCCUCGAGUUGAGAGGAUUGGAUCAUACUUACUAUCUAUUCAGAGCUUGUGGUGGUCGCUCCACACAAGCGUGCGCUCCGGAGUUUUGUCACUUGAGUGAUAGCCUUAUGGGGUCCCGCAGACGGUCUCGGGUUUGUGAACGAGUUGAGUUUCCUUACCAUGAGAUGCAUGUGAGUCGUGGGCGAACCUCAGGGUUGGCCAAGGAUUGGAUAAGUCAAGAAAAUUGGUGAACAAAUAGACAAGUAAAUAAUAUUACAUUACUUCUUGGAUAUAGUGGCAUGUCAGUUGAUUACUUAUCACAUUGUGCAUGCAUGCAUUGGAUAUGAUUUGGGCAUAAUAGUAUAGCUUUCUUACUACGUCGUUACUGCUUUCACAGAUCUAUCUAUCUAUCUGCUUGUGCCCACUUGGACCUAGUAGGGAGAUCGGCGGAGUCGGCGCCCGAACCCACUGGGAACUAUGGACAAUAAUUCUCACCCCACUUUAUUGCAGGGCUGAGUACGAGUGCUCCGGGAGAGGAUCGCGGUAAGAGCUUAGCGCCCUAGCAUUAGUAUCCCUCCAGUUGCAUUAGAGGUACCUACUUAUAUGAGAGUAGAUGAUGUAUAGGUUGUGAGAUGCAUUUUGGAGAGAUAUGAAUAAACUUGUACCUAUAUUUUGGAUGAAACAAAAAUGUAAAUUGUAUAAAUAUACAAAUCAUGAUGUAAUAGAUAGAACUCUCUCUUUUCGCACUUGUAUGGAUACUUGUGUUACUUGCUCUUGUUGUGAAGCACUAGUGGUGCUUCUUUUGUCGUUGUAUGAAUCAUGUAUGUAUUGAAUUGUUCCUAGGCGAAUUCUUGUACAUGAUCCCGUGCUUGACCCUUGGGCGGACAGGGGAGGUGUUGUCCGUUCGGCAUCUGUUCGACGUGCCCUAACCAGACCAAAUGGGUAGCGGUCUCGGGGCGUGACAUAUAUUGUAACACAGUGGACCUUUGCAAAUUGCGAGGUACGAGUGUUUGAUUGGUGUUCCGAGCUUUUCCACACUUUGUGUAGGGUCGUAGACAGUGUUCCGACCUAUGGUUCGAAUCCCGAGAAGUGUGUAAGAAAAUCAUGUGUACGCGGCGGAAGAAAAUAACACAAUUAAAAAUUUUCUUGAAAACCAAAGAUCACCUCGUGUUUCGUUUUAGAUCAUUAAUAAUAGAUCUAAUUGAUCUAAUCAAAUAGGAUCUAUAUCAUNGAUACUUUCGCUCACAAGUCAAUUAGACCCCGUCUCUCACGAGCCUAAGUCCUAUAGUCCAACCGGCCUAAGGUUCGCUAGGUCCACUAAGACUCAACCCUAGGCUCUGAUACCAAAUUAAUCCGUCACGCCCCGGGACCGGCGGAGGCCCUCUCGGUAGCGUGCCCAGACCCGCCAUAUGUCUACACAUAUAAGGCGUCUACACUAAAAGCGGAAGUAAAAGCAAGUAAAAGAACAAAUAGCAGAAGUGAAAUAACUAGCAACUAAUGAUAUCAGAGCGAGUAAAGUUCUAGCAUCUACACCAAUAGUAAUAGAACAAAUCUAAAACAUGAAAGGUAAACAUAAGUUAUACAGUAACAGCUUCUAAUACAAAAAUGGUGGUCUCUAGUGCACUGGUAAAACUCUCAACCUCUCCCAAAAUAAAGUACAACGAGAGGUAGACCACCUAGCGAAUCGUCCUCAAGGGAAGCUAGCUCGAAGCAACUCCCUUCCCGCGGACCCUGGCCUCACCCUGAGUGGAAGGCUCUGAAAAACAUCGAGAAAAAGAGGGCGUGAGAACUAUAAUUUAUAGUUCCCAGUGGGCAAUUACUGACCUCAGCUCAAUGCACCACUAGGCCCCAAAAGAAAAGGGUAAGUACAAUAAUGAUAGCAAUAUAAAGGCAUAAUAUAACGCUAACUCACUAAACUCCAGUAUAACGAUGUCAUGGUGAUGUACAUCUACAAUAUCAAGAUACUAUGUCUCAUGGUAAUAGUUCAAUGUCAAUAACCUUUAUCAAUGCAUGAUGCAUAAGCUCUAUCAUGGCAACCGAGUAUGCUCUAAUGCAACAGGAGACUAUCCAAUAUACUACAUGUCUCAACAUUACGCUAAAAGCAUAUAAAUGUAAUCCAACUACUAAACCUAUCUAGUAGUGAUUAACCAUUCUCAACCCCGUAUCGAUUUCCAUUUCUAAUCAAGGACCCACCAAAGGUAGUCCAGCUUGUGCCGCCUAAGUGCCUGUGGUAGCCCGACAUCCCUACUCUUGGAAUGUGUCUGUCCCACUCGACCCCGUAGGCUUCUCAAUACCGCACGAGCGAGCACAUAAGUCGGCGUAGGCUAACUCCGGGUGCCGGCUUGUAGGGAGCGCGACCCCUCACAACAUGUGCGAAUGAGCACAAAUGGCAAGCAGCAUAGCAAGUCUUCAAGUACGUCCUCAUGUCUCUAACAUUGUAUAGCCACUAGCAUCCCGAAGAUCUAGUUCAAGUCACAAGUGAUGUUUCAACAUUUGCUAUGCCUAUGCCUUAAUGACACUUAGGCAAUUUAAUGUCAAAUGUUUUCAAACUCCUCAAUGGCCCUAUCCACUAGGUUCACACGCGUCCCGAGCUCAAUGCCGCUUGAUGACAUUAGCUCCUAUUCACAUAUUUCUAAAUGACAAUCUUGUCAAUUUUCAUGUCACAAGUAAACUUAGGUUUAAAUGCAUGAAUCCGAACUCAUUUAUACUAUAGAAGCAUGAUACCACGUCUCAUAUAAGAAUGCCGAAUGCACUAUGGCCUAAUAACUACUCUCUACUACAUAGAGGUACAAAAUUUCAUCAUAAAUAACAUAGGCCUUUUUAAGCAUUCUAAAAUUCACAAUAAAUACAUAUAACAAGAAAAUGCAUGCUUUUUCAUUUAAACAACACUUAAUUAAGCACAAAUGAAGAUUUCUCAUUGUGGCUAGGUAAACCCACCGAAACCGUCGCGUAGGGCCUCGUUUCGCCGAACCAAGUUGUCCGACCGAGACUAAAAAUACCCUAAAAUAAUCAGCGAAGAGAUACGAGGGCAUUACGACCAUUAAAUAAGAUCAAACCAUAUCUAGAAGCAAAAGGGCCAAAUUUACCUCAAAGUAGAAAACUCUUCCAAAGCUCAAAAGAAGAGCUAGAACCCUUCCAAUCCAAGCCCUAGAAGGUUCUAAACCAAUCAAUCUAGCCCAAAAAGCCCUAGAUCAAAAAAGCCCCAAAAAUUAACCCAAUACCCAUUCUAGGGUUUCAACACAAGAAAAAUCUCAAAUCCAACGUUUAGAUGGAGAGAAAGGCUACCAACCUCAAAGAAGCUUCAAUCCAAGCUCAAAGGGUGAAGAUCUUCUCCUUUGCAAGCUCCAACCCAAGCCUUCAGCACCAAGGAAGAAGAGGGAUGAGGAAGAUGCUCCAAAGCCUUCAAAAGCCCUCAAUCUUCUUCUCCUCCUUCUCGUCUUCUCCUUCUCCUUCUUCUUCUUCUCUUCUCUAUCAGGGUGUAGAGAGGUUGAGAGGAGAGAAAUGAGGAAAGAGAGAAGGGAUGGGUCAUAUAGACCCUCUAUUGCAACAAAAUCCAAGAGGCCCCUCUAAAAUCCAAUAUUGCAUCAGCACCGAACUGGGCAGUUUUCGCCAGAGGCACCAGUCUCCGUCCCAGCAGGACCGUCUCUCGCUGCGACCCGAAAACACAGCGUCGGAACCGGUCUCCUCCUGCGCGGGACCGGUCUCUCACUGCGAACCGCGCUUCGGCGGAAAACGGCGGGCUCGCUGCCAGGGACGGUUGCUCAGGCUGCCUCAGCACUACUCACUGGGGAACUGUCUCUCCUUCCAGGACCGGUCCCCGAGAGUAAAAAACCUCUAGGAGACUUGUCCAGAGCUCACAGAUUUUGAACUUUUCGGUCGGGAAACACUUACAAACCCUCCACCAAGUGUGGAAAAGCUCGAAGUACAUCCAAGCACUCGAACCUCGCAAUUUGCAAAGGUCCAGUGUGUUACAUUAGACUAGAUGACAUGUGAAAUUGUGAUCAUAAUGUCAUAAACAGCGAAUUGAGCCUCGUUGUAUGUAAACCUACAGUGGAUGGCCCAUUGAGAGAAAUGGAACAUGCUUGUACACUCGAAAUGUCUAAUGUCAUAAAGGGCAUAAACUUAGUAAAAUAUUUGAACUUCACAUUGUAACCUAAAAGAGCUAAGAUUAAAAUCAUUGAGGAUGCUAAUACUAUUACCAUGUUAGAGACAUAUGAUGGUACUUAGACGAUGAUUACGCUUGUUUGCCAUUUGUGCUCAUUCGCACAUGCUUGUGAGGGUCGCUCCCUACAAGCCGGCACUCCGGAGUUGGCCUACACGACUUAUGCUCGCUCGUGCGGUAUCGAGAAACCUACGGGGUCCGGAGGGAUAGACUCAUUCCUANUAGAGUGGGAAUGCUGGAGCUACCACCGACACUUAGGUGGCACAAGCUAGACUACACUAUGUAGGUCCUAGAACAUGUUGGAAAUAAUGACAUUGAACCGGAAAAUGACUAUCACUACUAGAUAGGCUUAGUAGUUUGAUUACCUUGACAUGCUUAUACCAUAGUGUUGGGACUUGUAGAAUACAUGAUAGUCUUAUUUGUUGCAUCAUAGUAUACUUUGCUGCCAUGAUAGAGCAUAUUCAUCAUACAUUGAUAUAGUGGUUCAUGAUACCUACUUGCUCGUUAUGUUGGGACAUAUUAGUCAUGCUUGGACAUACUUCAUUUUGAUAAAGUAGAUGUACAACAUAUUUGACAUCAUGUUUAUUUGCGGCAUAGUAGUUUAGCAUUUUAAUCAUACUUCCAUAAAUGCAAUCCAUUUAUUAUUAUUGUUGCUUUUUGGACUUACCCUUUUCUUUUAGGACCUAGUGGUGCAUUGAGCUGAGGUCAGUAAUUGCCCACUGGGAACUAUAAAUUAUAGUUCUCACGCCCUCUUUUUCUUGAUGUUACUUCAGAGCCUUCCACGCCGGGAGAGACUAAGGACCGCGAAAAGAGUAUCGCCUCGAGUUAGCUUGGCUUCGAGGGACGCGUUGAUAGGUGGUCUACCUCUCGUUGUUUUCUUUUUGGAGAGGUUGAGAGCUGUACCAGUAUAAUAGAGACCACCUAUUUUGUGUACUUUUGAGAUGGUUAUUGUAUUACUUUAUGUUUCCUCUUUAUUAUUUAGUUUUGUUCCUACUUCUUUUAGCAUAGAUUAUAAUUGUAUACUUGCUCUGAUAUCUCUAGUUGUAGAUCAUCUUUUGCUUUAUUUUCGCUGUUGUUGUAGACACCUUAUAUGUGUAGACAUAUGGCGGGUCUGGGCGCGCUACCGGGAGGGCCUCUACCGGUCCCGGGGAGUGACAUAUAUGGUACUCUAAUGCACAGGAGGCUACUAUCUAGGGCGCUAUGCCCUUACCGCGAUCCUCAACCGCUUCGCUCGUACUAGGCCCUGCAGCAAAGUGGGAUGAGAACUAAUAAAAAUUUUCAGUGGGUUUUGCCGCCGACCCGGCUGAUUUUUCCACUAGGUCUAAGCAGGCAUAAGUAGAGAUAUAAACAUAGUAAUGAAAUCUGCUAACAUAAUAAUAAAAUCUGCUAACAAGCUACUAUACCUCAACAACAUGAUAUGAAUGAAAUAUCCACUAUACUCAUGAUGCAUGCCAUUCAUACACUUGUCACCCAAUCAUCUUGGCUAAACAUAAGGUUAAGCCCCAACUCACAACCAAAUCUCAAAGGUGAGGAGACUCUCCGCUGCGCACACCCGAGACCGUCUGCUGGGUAGGUACGUUAACCCAUCGUGUGACAACUCCGGAGCUCACUACUUAGGUGGAGCGAUCACCGCCAAGCUAAAACAGACUAAGUGAGUAUAUCUAAUCCUCUCAACUCGAGGAUACCUUACCAACUAGGGAUAACAAUACACUCGGAAAUCCACCAAUCCCAAUAUUCAUGUCAUAAGUGUCACCACUAUACUAGUUCCACUACACUAGUUCCAAAUGCCACUCUUUUUAUGUCAUUACAUUGUUCAAGUUCACCACUUGUUCUUAGAACUAUAGGAUUCCAUGUCAACACCCAAUCCUCAUGCAUCCGUUAGAUCAUGUGUUCAACUCACAAUUCUAUUUCUAUUUCUAUCAUGGAAGCAUGCAAGGAAUUGAAUUAUAUUUAACCACAUAUCUUACAAUGCAUGAUAUCAACAUAUGAGUAUAGAUGCAAAACAAUAACAACUUAGACGUAAAAGGAAAUCCGAUUGUUUCGGAUAGCACCCCCUACCUCGUGUCGACGCCACGAAGCGGGAAAGCCAAGCUGCGCAAUUUAUCGUCAUCGAUUUCUCCCGACUACGGCAAACGAAGCCAAAACGGCCAUUUCUUCAAAUUGACCACCGUAAGCUCAACGAAACCUCAAUCCAAGCGAUCCACCGCGUCACCUUUACCUUCAAUCGUGGAAUUAAGGAACGAAUUAAGAUCAAAACCCAUCAUGGUCAAAAACCCUCUUUUGAAACCCUAGAAACCCAUAUAUUGCUUAUAAUCCAAAUCUCAUCAUGAUUCUUGCAAUAAUCAAGGUUAGAAUCAUAUAGGGUUUCCAAUUAAACUCGUUUCUAAGGUUUCUACACAAAACCCUAACCAUAAGCCCUCAAAUUCUAUAAAACUCACCUCAAACCCAACCUCUCCUCCUAGCUUAGCCUUCACAAGAGAGUUGCUUCACCACUAAGCAAGCUUUUCUCCUCCAAAUCUCCACUAUUGGAGAAACCCUAGAGAGAGGAAGAGAGGGAGAGGUUGAGAGAGAGAGAGAGAGAGGUUCUUCUCUUUUGUUCCAAGUGGAGGGGAAUGAGAGAAAUGAGAUCAAAACCCUCAUAUAAACACUCCCCUUGCACAAUUGCACUAAGGCCCCUCACCAAAUGGCACUUUUGCUUAAUUUCACGUUUUCCCGUGUACGGGGUCCGGACCCCGAGAGCAUUCCGAACACGAAAAUUUUAGAAAAUCUCAAAUCUUGCUCUCCAAGGUCCUUUUUGGUCCCUUAUACCUUUAUGAGUCAUUCUGAUCACUCGAAACACUCAACGGACCUCUCUAAAGCGUCCAUUACCUCACUUUGGUCAAUUUGACUAAAGUUCAGUUUUGCGCAUCGGGGAUUCGGUACACUACACACGGUCGAAUCCAAAGCUCUACGGAUAGCUUUCUUUGUCGUGGAUGUAGAUAGUCACUAUAACCUACUUCUUGAGCGUGUUUGGAUUCACGCAAACAAAUGUUUGCCAUCCACUCUACAUGGGAAGCUUUUCCAAUGGAUCGGAAAUCGCAUAGAGGAAAUCAGGGCCGAGGGACGGCCUCAGAUGGUAGACAUUAAUGCAAAAGAAAUUGACCAUAUCAAUUGGGCCGACAUUGACUGAGAUCAAAUUUCGUUCGUACAGGUCACCGAAGGAGUCAAACUAAUGCUCAUGAAAGACGAAGAAGCAUUGGUGGCGGCAAAAGAGCCACUGAAUUGGUUAAGAUGGAACGUCAAAAGUCAGGAACCGAAUCUCUAGAUGAGUUCCAGCAAAAUAAGCCAACUAAAAGGGUCGGCCUGUAAGAAAAUCAUGUAUACGUAGCGGAAGAAAAUAACACAAUUAAAAUUUUCUAAAACCAAAGAUCACCUCGUGUUUCGUUUUAGAUCAUUAAUAAUUGAUCUAAUUGAUCUAAUCAAUUAGGAUCUAGUUUUUCACCUUGCACGGGUUGAGAUCACCACGAGGUCGACAAUCGUUGUUAAAAUUUGUUCGUCCUCGCUUAGCCGCGCACGCGCCUGGCCUCUACUCGCGUCCACAUGAAAUCACGCCCUUAAUUGAAUUAGACAACCGCUUCGAUCCGUGAUCCGAUCACGAAUUAACUCUUGCGUCGAUUUGAGGAAGAUGAAUCAAUCUUCUAGAUAUGCUCGCAACCUUUUGAAGAUCGAAACCAAUGGAUUAAUUGUGGAGAACUUGAGGAAGAGAGAGAGGAUUGAUGGCUAGGGUUUUCUAUUUCUCUUGUAUAAUUAAUUUUAAUAUGUCAUAUAAUAUAUAUUUAUAAUGAGAAAAUCCUAAGCCUAAUCCUAAUCCUAAUCGAAAUCCUAGUCCGAUUGGAUUAUCCAUUAACCCACAAGUUAGUUAUAAUAUUAACCGAAUCCGAAUCCUAAUUCUAAUUCGAUUCGUGUGUAACAUUUACACAUAAGUCUUCAUAUUAUUUACUAAUGAUUAGUAAAUACACCAUGCAACUUUUACACAUAAAUAUCUCUAAUUUACAAUAAUUGCAAAUUAGUCCUUUUACUAAUAAAUUAGUAAACUUUAGUAUUUAACUAUAUUAUAAUUGCAAUUAACCCAUCUGANGAUAAACUUCUUUUAUCGUCUCCUUAACAUCGAUCAUGCGUGAUUUCUUAUGUGUGUGACCUAAUAGGUUCAAUUCUGUCUGGUAGUGAGAUAUGAUGCGAUCCCCAUCUACAUCAUCAUCGAAACUCCUUUCGAUGGCUCAAACUCUUUUGAUUCUACCCUUAUAGAAUAAUUAAUUAUUAAUAAUUAUUUCUAUUGGUUCCCACAAUCUACCAGUGACGCCUAGCAGCAUGUGAUGGCAAUCCGAUCAGAAGUGAAUAUCGGACUGAACCUCUAGGUGCAGUUGCCGUACAAUACAAUCCUUCUAUCGUAUAGUCCCAACUGAGUGGAGGUCAUGGAAUACUCGUCAAACCCGACAAAUUUGAUAGGACAGAAGCUUUUAUGGUUACUCUUGGAAAUCUUUUUUCAUACACCAUAUUACAUCGGCCGAGGAUUUCUGAGCUUUGCCUUACAAAUAGCAUAGAACUAAUUAUCUCUCUACCGAGAGCGAUAGAUCCCAUAUAAAAACACACCCAUUCCUGAUAUGAACCGACUGUAGCCAACAUAUACUACUAAGACCCAUGGCUAGGAUCAAAGUUUGUUGCAUAGUCAAACUACAGUAGCCUCACAUUGAAUGGCCGUGGUGUCGCAGAUCUAAGGAUCAGUUGUACCACUGCAACAUCGAACCAGUUACUGACGAAUGAGCAGACAUUCAUAUAACUGUUCGUAGUUGGUCACGCUCAGUACCCUUGUUCUCCAACAACCACUUGCAUGUUCGCUCCAGUGUCCCCACACUAAUGACUCGAGAUUCGUCAUCCCAAAAGAGAAGCGACACACACAUCAAUCUUACCGGAUCAAUCAUCGUCCCGAUGAUGAUCCACCGAUUGAGAGCAUUUAGGAAUUAAUCACCAAUAAUAUGUAUCUCAAAUUCUCAACUCUUAAAAAUACAUAUUAUUAUCUUAUUAAUUCAAAGGACGGUUCACGGACACAUUAAACAUGAAUGGAAUAAAAAAGGACCCAAUUAUAUAAAUAAUAAAGAUUAAGUACAAAUAUAUGUUCCAUAGAAAAUAAAAUACGUCAGCCUGAUAGGCUUCUAGGGCAUACAACUGACACGGCCAUCUCAUCAAAUUGGCUGAUUUGGCUGAUAAAAUAUCAUGUAUUGAAUCAGCCAAGAUGACUGAGGAAAGAUCACCUAAUAAGUCGGCCAUAUUGGUCGAUGAAAAGACAUUUGAAGAAAUCUCAAAUACUACAGUCGACUCAAAUAAAAAUGGUACGGCUCACAAAACGAAAUCUGGUAAAAUUGGCGCUAAAAUCCAUAAAAUCACAAAGGAAUUUAUGGAAGAAUCGCCGACCAAAGUCGGCGAGAAAAAACUGGAGACUGAAAAUCUCUUUAUAAAAUUAAGUAAAUCCAAGAUCGGAGGAAGACAGACGAACAACGUACAUUAGCGCAAAGCUUUCAGCUCAGAACAGGAGAAGCUGACGAAGUUGUUGAUAAAUACAAAGAUUGCUUCACCUAAAAUUAUGAAGAAAUGUCAGGAUUGAGCCAAGAAAUUGUAGAACAUAGGCUUCCUAUCAAAAAGGGAUAUAGGCCUUAUAAAUAGCCGGCUCGUAGGUUUGAGCCAAGUAUUGUACUUCAAAUUAAGAAUGAAAUAGAAAUUCUUUUGAAGGUCAGAUUUAUUAAAGCGGUCCGUUAUGUUGAUUGUGUUACUAAUAUAGUUCUAGUACGAAAAAAGAAUGACAAACUUAGAGUUUGCAUUGAUUUUAGAAACUUAAAUUUAGCCACACCUAAAGAUGAAUAUUCGAUGCCUAUAGUUGACAUGUUAGUGGAUUCGGCAGCCGAGCAUGAAAUUCUGUCCUUUAUGGGUUGACAUGCAAGCUAUGACCAAAUUUUUAUCACCGAGGAAGAUAUAGCUAAAAUGGCUUUCAGAUGCCCAGGAUCUAUUGAAACCUUUGAAUGGGUAAUAAUGCCAUUCGAUUUAAAGAAUGCCAGAGCAACUUAUCAAAGGGCGAUGAAUUUUAUUUUUUAUGAUUUGAUAGGUAAAAUAUUAGAAGUUUACAUCAAUGACAUUGUGGUAAAAUUCAAAUCACAAGCUAAUCAUUGGGCAAAUUUAGGACUUGCCUUUGGACGAAUGAGAAAAUUUAAUUUAAAAAUGAAUCCUUUGAAGUGUGCUUUUGGAGUAUCAGCAAGAUAUUUCCUCGAAUUUCUAGUACACAAAAAAGGAAUUAAGAUAGAUAAAAAUAAGGCCAAAGGUAUUAUGGAAUUAUCGCCGCCAAAAAAUUAAAAAGAGUUACAAAGUUUGCUGGGAAAAAAUAAUUAUCUGCGGCGUUUCAUAUCAAAUCUAGCUAGUAGAAUUAGAGUAUUUACUCCAUUGCUUCGGCUGAAGAAUUAAGAGGAGUUCAUUUGGACAGAUGAACAACAAAAAGCGUUUGAAAACAUAAAAAGAUAUUUAGCAAAUCCUCCAAUCCUCAUGCCUUCUCGCCAAGAUCAGCCAUUAAAGUUAUAUAUGUUGGCUGCAGAAGAGAAUCUAGGAUGUUUAUUGGCAUAGGAAAAUAGUAAAAGAGAAGAACAAGCUAUUUAUUAUCUCAGCCGGCGCUUACUCGAUGCCGAAAAACGUUAUUCGACAAUAGAAAAGAUGUGUCUGUCGUUAUAUUAUGCAUGUACUAAGCUAAGAUAUUACAUUUUACCAGUAGAAGUAUCAGUUGUCUAUAAAACUAACUUGGUAAAUUAAGUAUAUGUUAUCCAAACCUGUACUAAGAGAACAGAUCGGAUGAUGGAUGUUAGUAUUGUUCGAAUUUUCUUUUAAUUAUGUCCCAACAAAAGUAGUCAAAGGGCAAGCAAUAGCAGAUUUCCUGACUGGUCAUCUAUGUGUCGAGAUUGAGGAACCAAUACAGAUCUUGGUCCAUUGUCAACCUUGGAUACUCUGUUUUGAUGGAUCAAAAACAACCAAAUCAGCAGGGGCCGGAAUAGUUAUACGGUCUCCUGAAGGCUACAUCUACCAAUUUGCUUUUGAAUUGGAUUUCGAUUGUUCCAAUAAUCAAGCUGAAUAUGAGGCCUUAAUAAUCCGCCUUGAAAUCUUACAAGAAAGCACGUUCACUUAAAGUUAUUGGUGAUUCACAAUUAGUAAUCAAAUAGGUAAAUGGGGAAUACCUGUGUGAAAACCGAAAUCAACAGAAUUAUUUGAUAAAAACAAUAGAGUUACUUUGUAGUUUCGGUGAAGCAGAGAUCGUGCAUCUAUCAAGGGAAGAAAAUAAGCAAGCCAAUGAUUUGGCUCAAUUGGCUUCAGGAUACAGGGAGCCAAAAGGGAAUCAAGUAGAAAUAGAAAGGAGAUUGUUACCAUCGAUUCAUAUACGCGAACCGAUGAUGAUUGCUCUGGUCGAAACAUAGGAAGACUGGAGAAAACCUUUAAUUGAGUUCCUAAACGACCUUAACAAGCGGGUCGAAUAUUAUAUUCAGAAAAGAGCACUCGGAUAUUGUUUGUUAAAUGGACAACUUUAUAAGAGAAUAGCCGAGGAAGUAUUAUUGAAGCGUUUAGGACCCGAGAAAGCUUUGCUAGUUACGGGCGAAGCUCAUGAAGGCUUGUGCGGAGCACACUUAGCCAGAAAGAGAUUAAGAUGGAUAGCCCGACACAUUAGGGUAUUACUGGCCAACUAUGCACGAGGAUUGCAUAAAAUACGCCAGAGGAUGUUAAGAGUGUCAAUUUCAUAGCUCGGUGCAAAGGGUCCCUGCUUCCAAAAUGCAUGCAAUCAUUAAACCUGGGUCUUUUCGAGGUUGGGCCUUGAACUUACUUUGGAAAUUCAGCUGAACUCAUCGGCUGAGCAUAAAUUCCUAGUAGUGGCCGUAGACUAUUUCACCAAGUACCAUAUCCGCUGCGUGAAUUUUAGCUUCAUCAGCCGAAUCCUUUGUUUCGUCAAAGUUGCUCGGCUCAUCUUGAGCCGAGGAUUCCUUAAUAAAAGAGACAAUCUUCUCUUUUUCUUUAUUCCAAUCUUUGUUUCGAUUCCAUCUUGGCCAAUCUUCAUUAUUAUUGCCUUUUCUUUGAGCAACCCAAACACCCAAAUCAAAUAGAUUCAAAAAAUAUUUAUCUUCAAAAUGGUCUUUUAUCUUGAAAUGCAGACCAUUGAAUGUCAUCUUAGCUAAUCUAACUCUAGCAUCCUAACAAAACAACGGCUCCUUGCUGUUUUGAAUUAGUUUAAAUAUUCUUCAACAGACUCUCCCGACUUUCUCCAGAACUGAGCUAGAUCAGCCACCGAAAGUUCUGGUUUUAAUUUAUAAAACUGCUCAUGAAAUUUUCUUUCCAAUUCAUCCUAAUCUCGGACGGAAUUGGCUGGUAGGCUUGUAUACCAAGUGAAUGCAGUCUUGGUUAAUAAAGUAUUAAAUAAUCUAAGUUUAAGGAAUGGAUUUUUGGCGGCCUCCCUACACUAGGCAGUAAAUCGUGCUACAUGCUCUAUAGUGUUUUUGGUUUCAUCACCGAAAAAUUUGUCAAAUUUUGGCAUUUUUCAGUUUGCCGGAUAAGGAUGUUCCAUAUCUAUAUUUGCAGGAUAAGGAGACCGAAAUAUAGGCCGCAUUGCCAGCCAAGCUCAUACUCUAAAAGUAUUGCGAAUGGCUUUUUGAUCUGAGCAUACAACUCAUUAUUAUUCCCUAGUGCCGGAAUCGGAGCAUGUGCUUGGGCCGAAUUCGUCCCUGAAGGAAGUCUGUAAUUCUAUAAUGCGGGAUUCGCCCCCUGCAUAACAUUAGGGAGUUGCUCUCCAGCUCUAAUUCCUCCAUUUUGGAGCUUAUAUGCCGACAAUGGUGGUGGAGGAGGUAAUCCCCAAGCCACUUCAGACUGUUGACCGGCAUUUAGAGUCGCCAGUCUAUAAGCAGCUUGGAAGGGUGCCAUCUGAGGCUGCGUGUUUACCGGUGUCACUAGUUUUGCAAUACCGGUAUACUCAAAGGCCCUUGUAGACCUACCGUAGGUUGUUCAUUUUGUGUUAACAAUUGCCCAAUUCGGGCAAUAUUCUCGUUAGAAGCCGUGAUCGCGGCUAAAACUGCAUCUAACCGAGCGGUGCUCCUGUGACUAUUUUGGUCUAAAACCUGUAAGACCUGUGUCAUCUAACCAAGCACCUGAGCCAGACUUGGUUCUUGCUGGUCUGAUUGACCACUAGUCUCACCCUCGAUCGGUAAGACUACAUGACGCUCGUUUGCGUUUUCGGUAUUAGUGCCUUGGUGAUCGUUCCCAGAAUUUCGUGGAAUGACCAUGUUGCGGAGAUUCAUGGCAUUAUCAUCAGCCAUAGUUUUUAAUAGAUGAUAUACGAAUUUACCUGGAUGAGCAUCCUACCGGGCAUGCCAAAAAUUGUUAGGAGCCGAAUCCCCUUAUUUUUGACCUGGUCAAAGAUUUUCCUAGAGAAACGCAUAGCGAUGUGAAACGGCUACAUGUGGUGACUCUCGAAGUUUGCGCCCUUCGACAGAUCAAACGAUUCGGCUAAUGAGAGAUUGGAUCAGCCGAGUUCGUACCCCUUACUACAGAUCGGUUUGGCUGAAUGAGUCGAAUAAGGUAUUGCACAGUAUUUUUGGGUCAGCCGAAGAGCCAAAUGCCUUUGUAUAUUGACUUAAAACUUGGAACACGUACAAAAAGAGGAUGCCGGUACGGCGUACAAACUUAUGAAAUCUAAAAAAAUUACUCCUAAGAAAGGCAAUAAAUGCAAGAAAAAAAAGGAUUACUCCUAAAAAAAUGAGUAAAAAUGCGUAGAACUGUAGAAUUGAAAGUGAUUUUCUGUUCGCGGGAAAAAGACCCUUUUUCAGGCGUUAUCUGUUUAUUUAUGUUCUGCCUAUUGUUAUUCAGUUAUCUACAUGAUUGGCAGCUUUUCUAAUUUCGUGGGCCACUAUAGGCCGAUCCCAACAGCGUGAAGCCGUCUACAGUUUAAUUGUUGCAAUUCGUUCUUUGCUUCCGGAUUACCAAAUGUCAUUUAUCCCUAGCUUCGAAGCUCCUGACUGCGUUGUACACUGAUUCACCAUAUUGCGCUACUUUCUUGGCAUCAAUAAUAGGUAAAGCUGAUCUAUUCAACAAAAUGCAUGAUACAAGUCUAAUAAAAGUAACCGAAUAGAACAUGCCUUUAAUGACUUUGUAUCGAAGCAUCCAUAUGUAUAUUUUGCACAUAAAUCCCUCCCACCAUGAAAUCUUGUGAUUUGACAUAUAAAAUAUCAUCAUUUUUGCAAUAAAACUCAGUUUCAUCAUUUCUCUCUCAACCUUUCCGUCACUAACAUAUUAUUUUAUUCCACAAAAUUGCACAAAAGCCCCUCUUAUGACAUAUAGCAUUGUCAGACUUCUGAAGUAAUGAUUUACUUCCUUACUAACACUCUCACAAUUGACUAUAUAUAAGGCAUUUAAUUGAAAUCGCAUGAAAUCUCCCUCUCAAGAGUGAUUGAUUACACUUUUUGUCUACUAAAUAUAUAAAUUGUUUAAAAUAAAUCAAAACAGGAUACUCCUAUAUUCAAAUAAAGCCUUAAUUUGUUAUCAUAAUUGAAAAUUUUUCAUACUAAAUGAAAUAUUACUGAAUAAUUUAUUCCGACAUCCAAACACAAUCUUGAUAAGAAGGUAUCCAUAACUAUACUUACUUAUACAUGAAUUCUCAUGCCUAAAUCCUAUGUGGAUACACAUUCUUAAUUCGAGAAACAUGGGGCCCUAAAUUAUUUCUUCUCUUCUCUAAAAAACUGCAUUUAGUCUAUUUUUUCUAAUGCCGCUUUACUUUUCGUUAUUUUUACUCACAUUUACUUUCUUUUUUUUACUAUCUAUAAAAAGUUAGAUCGGAAAGAUAUUGAAACAAUUUAUUUCGUAUAUAAAAAUCACCACCCAUCCCUCCACCUUCACUCAAAUCCAUUAAUUUAGAAAAUUUUUCUUAAUUAAUUAAUUUCAAUGGCCGCACAAGCUUGGUACAUCUUUCUUUUUUACCAAAUUUUUUUGUUUAAUGAUUAAUUGAGAAAUUUGAUGAUAUGUAUUUUUUCUCUCUAAAUCAGUAUACUUUUUUUUAUGUGCAAAUUUUUUUUGUUGUUGGUUUUAUAUUAUAUAUAUGAAAGAUGUGUAAUAUUUGUACCUAAAUUUGUAUUGUAUAGUUAGUCUUAGUUUGGUAUUGAGGCCUAUCAAACGUUAUUAGAUAAAAUGAAGUUGAGGAAAAAGUAUAUAAAAAUAUACUUCUGUGUUCUCCGGUGGGACAGCAGAAAAUAUAUCGUAACCGUCGACUCAUCGCGAUAUGCGGAACGCAAUAUUACGUACGAAAACAAACAGAGUAUUUUUCCAACGUACUUUUUCACCGCACGUAACGCAAUCUCUCCGCAUGAAGCCUUAUUAUACAAAGGAAGUGCUUCCUCCUCAUCUAGUAGCUCCGAGGACGAGAAGUAUCGGCAAGGAUAUAUAUGGAGUUGCCGAGAAGGGGUUGAAGGCACUGUGGUACAUCACGAAAUUGUUGACGUCGACAGAGGAUGCUAUAAACGAGGGUGCGAAGGGGUCCAAUAUUCAUAUAACAAUUUUUUGUCUCCUAUAGUUCGUUCUGUCUUUUAUUGUUUUUUAUUGAAUUAUAAUUCUAUUAUAAAAGCUUUAAUGUGUUUUUUAUAUUGCUAAAUUCAAUCAAAUAUAGGUAUAUAUUUCUGUUUUCUUUUUAUAUUUUAUAUUUAUUUAUUUAAUCUAAAAAUUUUACUAAAUAAUUUUUUUCCAUUAUUACACUAUAUUAUAUAAUAUUAGCACUUGUGCAAAAAUCAAAAGCUUCGAAUACCAUAUCAAAUUCGAAGACAUAACACUUAAUUAUUACCAUAGUGCCAUACGAUUUGGUAAUAUGUCAUUAAUCGUUAUUAAAAGUAACUUAACUAAGGAGCAUAUCCUCCUCCACGCCCACUGCCAUGGCCAUACCCUCCUCCUGCCCCUCCACCACCACCGUAGCCUCGAUAAAAACUCGUUUGCGGGAAGAUUCAUGUUUUUAAAUCAUGUUUCUGUUCCAAAAAAUUCUUGUAAAGACCUUAGCUGUAAUUUGUGUAAGGCAUUAAUGUGGUCGAUUUGAAUGUAAUGCACUUGAUAGAAGAAGUUGUCUUGAUUGUUGAGGGUUGCUAGGCAUUUUAUUGAGUUUGUUUUCAUUCGUCUUGGCGCUGUGUUUAGAUGCAGCAGGAUCCAGUUAGGUCACUCUACUUGAUCUUCUUCUCGUAUUCUUUGGUAAUCGAGUUUGCUUUCUAGCUUAGUUUUUGACUUUGUGAUCAAUGUAUUUGAUGCUGGACGCUAGCUUGAGCUCUUUCUACUAGAGUGGAAGACCUUUAGCGCGCCCCGCUGUGGCCCCUCCAUCUUCGGCAGCCGCCCUCUGUACCGCUCUUCGGUACCCUCCUCCUCCUCCUCCUCUCGGCGGCGGCGGUGAAGCGGCCUCGAGGGGUACGCUAAUUUCUCUCUCUCUCUCUCUAUCUCUCUCUCUCUCUCUCUCUCUCCCUCUCUCCUCGAGCUUUCUCCUCUUCUCUUCCUCUCCUCUCCCACGUGUCUUGCUCUCCUCUGCUGCUGCUGAGUCAUGUAUAAAGAUGCCCAAAAAAAAAAAAAAAAAUGACUUAAAAUUCAAAUCCACCUUAUCACCUGUUUAUUAGAUACCCACUUUUACGAGCCUCUGGGAGAGUUGAUAUCGACAAGACUUUUGCCAGGUAAUUAAAAUAAAAAGGGUAACUAUCCGGAGAAGGGACAAAAAAAACACAAUUUAAGUAAUAUAUAAAAUUCAAAUAAUUUUGGUAAUUAUGCUAUCUAACGACUUUUUGAAUUAUUUUGAUUCGAGCAUAUUUAAACUUUUUUAUUUUUAAUUUUUUAUAUAGUAAAUAUAUUUUUUAUGUAGUUUCGGUAAGCCUUCAUCUGAUAUCGGCUCCCUCAGAAGGCAUCAAGGUAAAUAAAAAUAGAUGAGAUGAACCACAUUGCUAAGUCUUUUAAUUUUUAAGUUUUUGACUCUUCGGUAAAUUCAAAAUUCUUAAUCUCUCAAUUGAAUUUUAAAUCUGACUUUUUAACACUCUACUACUUUACUUUUUUUACAAUAAAUGUUCACAUCACACUAGCCACGUAAUAUUAAAAAUAAAUAGAAAAGUGUUAUAAUUUUGAAAUUUAAAGAUAAAGGAUGAUAGUCAAAAAAAAAAAAAAAAAAAUUACUAUGCCGCUGGUGGCUCUAGAUGUGUCUCAUCUAGCAGCCGUCGCAGUCUACACAUAUUCUCUGUCCUCACCACCACCACACCCUAUACCGCUCGUACCACCUCCCGUACCACCACCGCCACCAUCGCCUCCACCACUCCCAAUACCCCCAUGGCAGCCACCGCCUAUACCACCGCCGUCACCGCCGCCAUCACCACCGCCGCCGCCCAUACCGCCGCGGCCANNNCCACCGCCACCGCCACCGCCACCGCCACCGCCACCGCCACCGUAGCCAAUUCCGUGCUCUCCGCCUACUCCAUAACCGGCCCCACUGCCGCUUCCUCCACCAGAACCGUACCCACCUAAACCACCAUAACCGACAGUGCCACCAGAGCCGCCGCCUCCACCACCACCAGAGCCACCGCCGUGAUCUCCACCAACUCCGUACCCACCUCCACUACCACCACCACUUCCAAACCCUACCCCAUGUUCUCCUAUCACACCAUUACCAGGGAUGAAGUGCUCCCCAACUCCAUAGCCGCCGCCGCCACCGGAGCCUCCACCUCCGCCACCACCAUAGCCUCCGGCAGCACCACCACCACCGUAGCCCGAGCCGCCACCAAUGCCGUGGCCGGCACCAUAUGGGAAUGGCUCAAAAGUGAGGAGAGCUCUAGUGGCAUUACAUAUGGUUACACUAAAGAGAACUAGGAGUGCAACACCAACAACUUUAGUUGUAGUAGUCGUGGUGCCCAUAACGCUAAUGUUUGUGUUAAGGACUUGGAUGGGAAGGAACAAGGGUGUGAGUAUGGCUAUUUAUAGAGAUCGAUCGGGGAGGAGGGGGAGAGAGAGAGGGAGAGAGAGAGAGACACAGAGAGAGAGAGAAAGAGAGAGAGUGGUUAGGGAAUGUCGUGUAUGCCCAUACACUAUAACACUAUGCACACACAUUAGUAGCGCAUGCGGAUGGAGUUUAUGCGUUUAUGCUGUAUUGCAUAUUUCUGCGUUGCAUGUUACCCAUCGUUUUCUCACUCAUUGGCUAUUGCCGGGAUUUAUGAUUACUUUGUUGGACGAUCGAACUGAAAUGAUCGUUGAGAUUGAGCAACAACGAAAAAAGGAAAAAUUAAUUAAUAAAUCUACAGGUGAAAAUGCAAUGCGAGAACCAUUAUGAAUUAGGUCUUUAGCUGCAAUUUUUUUUUGACUGGUUUCAUGGUAAAAGAGAAUUUCAUUACAAAGGCGCUUUUUAGUCAACAUUUAAGAAAAGCAUCCCAAAGUAUUCUUAUAAGAUAAAAAAUGUUGACACUUCGAAAAAUAUUAUCAUAUAUAUUAACCGUUUAUCAUAUCAAACAAAUUUAUUGAUCAUAAAUUUAAAUUUCGACGACGUUUGGCAUAAGUAUCAGCGUAUACGCAGCCACUCUCCAUGUGCCGAUUACCAACACUUUCAAAUGUGACCAUAGACUGCUUUGGAACAUUUUUUAAAUAUAAAAAAAUAUCCUUAAAUAUUAAUUUUCUUGCUGUAAUGUCUUUUUAGCUUUUGUUUAUUUUAAAUUUUACUAAUAUUAGUUAAUUAAUUUUAAAAUUUUAUUAAAUUGAAUGAUUUUAUUAGCAAUCACUUAGUAUAUAACUGUAUAUUGACGGAAUUAAUCAGCAAUGCAAAAGGAAAGAAUGAGAUGUGAUUAUACGUAAAGCAAUGUUAAUUGUAUAGAGCGUAAAUUUUAUAAUCUAGCUAUCCAAAAACCAAAUAUUUAUAGUAGUCUUAUCAAUAUUCUUUUAAUACUAAGAAUCUUAAAAAAAAAAUUAAACUCUUCAAUGAUGGGUGCAAGAUGGACACAUGAUUAAUACUAAAAAUCUUACAAAAAAAAUAAAAUUAAACUCUUAAAUGAUGUAAAAGUAGUAUUUUUCUACAUAACCGCACAAAGAAUCACCAUAUAUAUAUAUUUUCAUCAAGAAAAAAAGGGACACGUGAUUAAUUAUACCUAUCUUGAUUCACUUAAUUAAUUACUAACUUAACAAGUACCACCUCUCCUUAAAAAUUAGUGAUAAACUUGCUUUUAAAUUUCUUGUUGGUUUACUAGAUUAAUAAGUACAUAUAUUUGCAGGAGACAAAUAAUCUAUUGUUUAGAUGAAUCUCUUUUGUUUCUUCCGAGUCAAAUUGACUUGUGGCUCUUUUUGGGUUAAGUGAGUUAAUUUGGGCAAUAUAGGUUUAGUUAAAGGUCAAAAUAAAAUAGGUUAAAAAAUAUCUUCUUCUCUUUUGUUCUUUAUUCUCUUUUGUAGCGUUUCUCUCAAGAGCAAGAAAAGUGCGAAAAAUGGUCCAAAGGUUGUGGGAUUUUGUUAGGUUUGAGGUGGGUGACCUCCAAUCUACUUCUUUCUCUCUCUUGUGAACAUUCAUCGUAACAUAUUUUUGGUUGAAGGUUUAUUCGGUAUUUUUUAGUUUUUCAUUGCAUGGUGUUUUGAAUAUUCGAGAUAAAGUUGAUUAAAUUCAUACGUGGGGUUAUUUGAGAUUGUUAUAAUUGUAAGCUUUUUAUUUCCCUGUCCUUAUCUUCUAUGGUGGUUAUGUGAUCUUGAACGUGUAGGAAAAUUGAAUUUUCGGUUUUUACACAUCAAAGGAAAGGGUGUGCUAGGCUUGGAGCCGAUUUUACUUUUCUCUUCAUCUUAGUCGCAGUAAACUUGGAAGUUACAAAGGACUACUAAUAUAAAAACUUGGAAGGCAAAAUGUUUCUCUCCAUUCCUCUUAAUCUUUGCAUGUACUUCUUAUAUGUCAAUCAUAUUUGGAGAGAGAAAUACAAGGAUACACGAGCGAUCUAAUUAAUUACAAGAUUUUACGUACCUUCAAUACAAGUGUAAGUGGAUCUGUCAAAUGUAGAGUUGCUAGUUUUAUGGCAAUUAAAGAUAUGCUAAUCAUUUCUUGUUUAUUAGUUGAGGAAUUAGCAUGUAUUUGUUGUUUAGUAUACUAUUUACUGGUAAUUAAUUAGUCGCCUAUCUGUAAAAUUUUUUAUCUAGUUCCUCCUAAUGCUUGUAUUCACUUAUAACUGCUUACUGAAUUCAGGUAAGAAGUAGCUAGAGUCUCAUGAGCCUAUUCUCUUUCAUCUGCUUCAAUUUUACUGCGUUCGAAAGAGCCUGUUUUUUCCUUUUUUUCCCCCUAUAUAUAAACAGAAAUUAAUGCUAUCAAAGCAUUCAUCGAUCGGGCGCCCAACAAGAACACAUGGAUUAAUGGGUCCACUUUGAUGAGAGGAUCCACAUACAACCAGUAACAUUGCUCCCACUUUGGAACAUUCUUUAGACUUUCCGGAUAUGGAGGUACAAAAGCGAAAUAAAUUGUUGGGGUUUCAAUGAAGCCCUUUUCCCAUUAUAAACAAUAAAAGGGAUUUUUGAGUUUGAGACGCACUUACCUGUUUACAGUAAUGCAACAUGUAUAUCCAGCUAUGUUAUCUUCUUCCCGCGUGCAUGCAUAUAUAGAGGAUAGGGCAUGGUGUAGCACUUAAAGAAAAGCAAAACAUGUGGUUCUUGAAGGAAGAUGGAGAGCCAAAAAUUUAGCCUAGCUAUAUACUUACAUAUGUGAUGAUCGUAUAUAUUAACAGUUCAAAGUUGAUCUAUGAACUAAUAAUAUAUAUAGUACGGGCCUAAUUAAUUUGUGGUUUGAUUUAUAUAUGGAUCUACUCCAAAUUAAGAUCGUUCAAGUGAGAAGGUCCGGUAUAGGGAUCUGCGAGACCUUCCUGGUACAAAAAUUAAUGGAGUUUUUAAAUUCAUAAUACAAUUAAAAUAGAAAAAACAGUAGCUACCAAUUAGUACUACAAUCCAUGUUGUAACAGUAGUCGCUAGCUGUGCGGGAACUACUGGUAUGCAGAUCAAACUUUGUCAUGCACUCCAAAAGCUAUAAUUUUACCGACUUUCACCGAUGAUAUUGAAUGAGAAUAUAAUUAUAUAAUGCACAAAUGCUUAAAUGAGAAUAUAUGUAUAUGUUAAAAAAACUAAUAUAAUUAUAUACAGCACAAAUGCUCAACUAAUAUAAUUAUUUUAUCAAAUCUUCAUGCUUACGCAUGCAUAUGAUCGAUUCUGCUGUAAGCUUCAACAAUUCUCAUGCAUGUUUAGUAUUAGGUGUUAUGCUAUUCAAAGAGUAAAUAGAAUGAGGCAUUCUUUAUGUAAUUUUAUUAUUUUAGAAAAGUUGGAAGUAGGCUAUGAGUGAGUCAAUUAAUUAAGUUAGCAUGAUUAAAAUACGUACGGUUCAAGUUAAGGUGGAGUGAUGAGGCAAAAACACCUCGCAGAAGAACGAUCGAGUGCUUAGCAAGUUCCCUGUGCGUAGCAAACAACAAAAAUCUAAGCCAGAUCUAAUGUUCAGCAUAUAAACUUUUUCCAAGAGUAAUUUCUAAGAAUGUUCUAUAUAUAUUUCAACUCUCAAUGAUGAUCACAUGCAUUGAUAUGGACUAGUAACAGCAUGAAGAAAUCUAACAGAACUACCAACUAAGUUUAAAUAAUAUUCCAGAUUGAAGAAUGAGUUGGAGUUCCACAAACUCUGAAUAUGCACAGAGAGUUUUUUUUUUUGGGAUAUUGCUUCAUAGGGUUAAUUACAUCAUUAGUCCCCAACCUUUACUUCAUUUUUCACUUAAGUCUCCAACCUUUUCUUUCCAAUCAAUUUCCAUUCUCUUGAUUUUAAAUUAUGUCCCAGCCAUUAAAAAAGUGGUUAAAAUUGACGGACUCGCCAUGUAAGCACUUAUAUGGCUACAUGGCUUUUUUUUUUGCAUGUCAAUUUUGAUAUCUAAACUUUACAUAUUUUUUAUUUUAGUUAUCAAAAAUAAAAAUUUACAUUUUUAAUUUUAAAUUCAAAAUUAAAUAUUAAAAUUAAAUAUUAAAAGUAAACAGAAAUUAGAAUUUUGAAUUUGAAAAUUUUGAUUUAAAGCUGAAUUAAAAUUUUAAAUUAAAAUUAAAUUUUAAAUUUAAAUUUUAAAUUGAAUUGAAUCUAAAUUUUUAAUUCAAACUUAAUUUUUUAUUUUGAUAUUUGAAUUUCCAUUUAAAAUCAAAAUUUUAAAACUAAAUUUAACUUUAAAUUUUGAAUUUAAAUCAAAUUCAAAAUUUUGAUAUUAAAUUUUAAAUUUGAAUUCAAAAUUUAAAUUUGAAUUUGACAUUUGAUUUCAAUUCUAAAUUUGAAUUUAAACUUCGAAUUCAAAUUCACAUUUUGAAUUUAAAAUUUCAAAUUAAAGUUUGAAAUUAAAUUAGAAUUAGAAUUCAAAAUGUGAAUUUGAAUUUAAAAUUAAAUACAAAAUUUGAAUUUGAAUUCGAAUUUAAAUUUGAAUCCAAUAUCAAAAUUUAAAUUUAAUAUUUGAAUCUUAAAUAAAUUUUUUUUGAAUUUAUAAUUUAAUUCAAAUAUAAGUUAAAUUUUAAAUUUAAAGUUAUAAUAUAAAAACUAAAAUUAAAAUUGUGUAAUUAGCUGGUAUUGACAAAGUGCCUCCAUGGCCUAACAUGGUGUUGAGUGGCAUUUUUUGCAAUUUUAACACCCGUUCUGACGGCAGGAAUUUAAUUGUAAUAAAAUCAAGAGGUUGAGAACUUGAUUAUAAAGGAAAAAAGGAUUGGGGACAAAAGUGAAAAAAGUUGAAAAUGUUAGAGAUCAAUGGUGUAAUUGACUCUUGCUUUCAUAUGCUAUCAAAGCAAUAUAUAUGUUUUGAUUUUGAAUCGCUCAAAUUUUUUAUUAAUAUCUUGAGGCAAGCAUAUAUAUAGAUAGAGCAUUUAGAGUGAUCACAUGCAAUGCAUACAUAAUAGCAUAAGAUUUUAAAAAUUAAAAGGAAUAUUAAUUUCAUGAUUUUAAUAAGAUCUCACAAUGUUGCGCAUCGGCUAACUACAAUAUUAGGCAAAUUUAUCAUAUCAUCUUUUAAUUAAGGAGAUUAAUUGAACCUAUAUGCACGACCAAUAGAAAUAUUUAGUGACAUAUAUACAUAGACGAUCUAGCUUUUUAUGCUUUUAGAAGUAUAGCAGCAUUUGUAGUAUUAAGUUAUUUUUUAUGCUAGAACUUUCGAAUCGAUAAUUAGCUCUAUUAAAUUUGAUAUGAAAUAUUUGAAGUAAUUAGAAAAUACAUUUCGUGAUUUCGUGAAUUUUUUUUUGGGAAAACUUCAAAAACCCCCCCUGUGGUUUCAUGCAUUCUCACUUUGCUACCCUGUGGUUUAAAACGUAUCAAUUUGCCCCCCUGUGGUUUCGUUUUUAUCUUUUUGUUAUCAAUUUUAUUAUUAUUUUUUUUUAAAAUCAGUGACAAAGUUAAAAUUAAAGGAUACUAAAGUGACUAUUUGAUAAAUAUAGAUGGUUAUCUGAAGUUUUUUGUAUAUAAUUUAACAAAAUAUUAACGAAAAAGCUUCCGAAAAGAUAAAAAUGAAACCACAGGAGGGUAAAUUGAUAUGUUUUAAACCACAGGGUAGCAAAGUGAGAAUGCACGAAACCACAGGGGGGGUUUUUGAAGUUUUCCCUUUUUUUUUAUACCAAAUACCUAGUGACCGACGGAGCCUAAAAUUAGUAAUUUGAUAAUCAUGGUAAACCAUUUGCAGAUUUAAUGGUCUAAAAAUAUUCAAAUCACGUAUUUUAUAAAUUAUAUCGAAAAUUAAUUUAUGAGAUUUAUUUUCUAAAUAUUUUUACUACUCUAGAUUAAGCCAAAUGGAAUCGAUCGUCAAUCCGAAAAUUCUAACAUAAAAAACGACUUGAUAGUACGAAAACUAAAGUGCUUUCAGAAGUACGUAUACAAGCCGAUGGCUAUAUAGAUAGUUAUAUAUUGUUCCAGACUUUACUAGUUAGGUGUUCGAUCGGUUCGUUUGUGGCAUGAAAGAGCUACAAAAAUGAGCCACUACGUACCCAUCACUACUACCCUCACAAGUCGACGAAGAAAAAGGUACGUAGCAAUGAAACACUAAUGGCGCGAAAUAUAUAUAUAAAGAAUUAACUAUUAUAUAUCUCGAGCCUAGCUAUGUGGAUGCCAGAUAGAGCGCAAUACGUACUCUACAGGAACUUUGUAUAGCCUGCGGGCCCACAGACACUGGCCGAUAAAGGUCACUAACUCAUGCAUGUUCUGGCCAAUUAACAGAGCCCACUAACCCAUCCAUGUUGCAUGUACUGGCCAACAAAGGCCACUAGUGAGCCCCAUGCAUGUGCCCUCCACCACGACGAAAGAUUAUAUAGCGUGAUGCACCACGUCCACCACGUUGGUGCGUGCACCGCAUUUUUCCACUCUUCAUCGAUCCCCUGUUAUUUAUUUAAUUUGAUUGGAGAAAUAUAUAUAGUAUUAUCCAAUGAAGUGCGAAUUCACCUAGUAGUUUAAUUAGAAGAUGAAUUAACUUUUAAUCAAAUAAGUUCUCUACAGUAAAAUUAUAAUAAUAAUAAUAAUAAUAAACUUUUUCUUUAAGAGUGUAAAAUUUUAUUUUAUCUUUUUCCAUCAUUAGGAAGUCUUUUUUCUUUUUCUUUUUUUUUUGGUCAAAAUUCCUACCGUAGAUAAUUAUAACUAAAAUAAGUAAAAGUGAGGCUUUAAAGAUAUAUAUAUGUACUAAAUUUUAAUUUCGGAUUACAGUUUUCUAACACAUGCAUGUUUUGAUAUUUUGAUGGACUCGAAAAAUUUAGAAAUUCUUUGAAGCUUUUCUCAAAUUAAUAGCAUAAAAAUAAUACUUAUUUUUCGGAUGAUAAUUUUUUAUCAUUAUUAUAUUGGUUGCUUUGAAAGAGGUAAGCUCCAAAAUAUUUUUUAAUAAGAUAAACUUUAGCUUUCUCCCGUGGUGAUUUAGCUCAACUUAUUUUGUCAUUAUAUGAUUCAAAAUGUUUUUUUUUUUUGAGAGAGAGAGAGAUAGGUAGCACGGUAUCCGCUUCGUUUAUUUCAUUUAGAAAUAAACUUUGCUGGAAAUGUGAAUCAAUUAGGAUUCGAACUUGGGUCUCGGAUACCAACCACCAAACCCUUUGCCACUUGCUUUAGAGACAGUCGGUUAUAUGAUUCCAAAAGUUAAACUUAACUAUUAUAUAAUUUAGCUCAUAUUUACCUGAGCACUCUUUAUUAAAAAAUUUACAUUUAACUAUUCUAUUGUUAUCAAAAAAUAUAGUAUUGUUAUACUGUUUAAUAGUAAAUUUUUUAGAUAAAGAUAAAGAUAAAACUACAGAAUAUAUAUCUAAAUAUAAAUUUUUGAACCACAUAAUAGUAAAACAAAAUUAAGCUAAACGGCAUAAAGGGCAGAUUAAAAUUUAUUCUGUUAAAUAAAUUUUCAUUUAGUUUUAUAAAAUAUUGAAAAGGGAUAAUUUUAUCAUGGCAACUCCAGGUGCAAGCAAGAUUUCUCCUACCACUCCUGCCACCUUCAGAAACACUAUAAAUACCCGGGACUUCCCAAACUCUCAUCUCAUGAAACACAAUUCCAAAGUUCGCUCCAUGGCUACUAGAACUAGUAGAGUUGUUACCAUUACACUACUAGUGCUCCUAGGUGCAACCAUAUGCUCCGCCGCUAGAACCCUUCUCUCUCUAGAGGCCGGAGCCUACGGCGUUGGCCAUGGCAUCGGCAUCGGUGGCGGGGGCAGCUACGGCGGCGGAGGUGCCGCUGCUGGAGGUUCUGGUGGUGGAGGUGGCGGCGGCAGCGGGAGUGGCGGCGGCGGAGGCUACGGUGGAGAGCAGGGAAUUGGCUACGGGAGCGGUGAAGGCGGCGGUAGUGGCGGCGGUUACGGCGCCAGUGGAGCAGGAGGAGGAGGAUAUGGCGGUGGUGGAGGAGGCGGCAGCGGCGGUGGCGUGGGGUACGGCGCGGGAGGAGGGCAUGGCGGAGGGUAUGGCUCCGGCGGGGGCGAAGGGUAUGGCAUUGUGUACUCUUGAAUAUAUAUUAACUACUAAGAUAUCAUUCUUAAGGAGCUUCAAUUUAACAAUUUUUUUUUUUGAGUAAAAAAAAAGUUGUUUCAGACAUAGUUAGCAAAUUAUUCGCGAGUUAUUAAAAAUUCGAAUAAAACGUUCCGUAUGCAAUAUAUUUCUAAAAAUUCAAAAUAAAAUGUAAAUUUUUGGAUUAAAUUUAUUAUUUACGAAUAAUUUGCGUAUGCCGAACUACUCGGCUAAAAAAAUGCGCAAAAUUUUUGGAUAAAAUUUCUUUCCGAAUUAUUGACGAAUUUUUCGUGAAUUAUUGAAAAACUUCAUGAACUUUUGAAAUAUGUGGAUUAUGAAAAAUUAAAGAUCAUAACGACAAUAAAAUUAAUUUGCCAUUGCUUUUUUAACUUAAUCUACUUUAUUUUAUAAAUCUUUAUUUGUAUAUUUUUAAAAGUUUAUAACUAUAUAUGCUAGUAGCAUAAAUUUAGAAAAAAGGUUUAGUUUAAUAACGGAAUUUUUUAUCACAAUUUUUAAUUAGUAAACAUAUAAUUUUCGCAUAAAUCGCAUAUCUGAAUAAUCGGAGAAUCCGUUUCUUUAAGUCAUAUUUUUCGACAAAUUUAAAGAUUGAAAUCAUUAUAACUAUACCGAUUUUUUGCGGAAUCCGAAUUAACUAACUAUAAUUUCGUAUGAUACCAUCAUAAGAUAAUUUGUAUAUAUCAAUUCUGCUUAGACUUUUAGUUUUAUGUAGUGUCCUUUCAUUUAAAUCCAUGAUGGGUGAGGGAAAAUUUUGAAUAUAAAACGCAAACACAUCACUUUCUGGCAUGCGCUUUAAGAUUAAACAGUUGUUUCAUCACAGAUAUGGAGGGGCGGGCGGCCAUGGCGGAGGCGGCGGCGGAGGAAACGGCGGAGGUGGCGGGUACGGCAGUGGAGGUGAGCACGGAGGGGGGUACGGUAGCGGCGGUGGAGAGGGAGGCGGUGCAGGGUACGGCGGCGGAGGGGAGCACGGCGGAGGGUACGGUGGUGGAGGAGGAAGCGGCGGAGGUGGCGGCGGUGCUUACGGGGGUGCAGGAGGGUAUGGUGGUGGUAGCGGCGGCGGCGGCGGCGGCGGUGGCGGCGCCGGUGGUGUUGGUGGGUAUUAUGCUGGGUUGCAUAAUGGGUACAUUCCAUGAAGUUGGGAGUACGAAAACAGCCCCAAGCUACCGCCGUAUCUUGAGCAACUACUAGUGCCAAUAAAGAAGUGUGCUUAUUAUUAUAAUUCGUGCCUAUGAUUAUGAUAUAUAAUAUGUGUAAUUAAGGGAGGGGUUUGAUGAUUUCUUAUGUUGGGUUGGAAUGCUAUUUGUCGUUGGAACUACCGUUAUAAUUCGUUGUAACAUGUGAAAUCAACGAAUGAAGUAAUGAAAACAGCAUUAAUUAGCUUAAUAGAAGUGUAAUAUAUUGAAUUCCAAUGUAUCAUACUGAACUUUGACGAAACUAAAUAAAAUACAGCCAAAAAAGGAAUAUAAUAGUAGUGUUCGCGAUGGAUCACGAGGAUUUCGAAAUAGUUAAAAUAAAAAAUUCGAGACAAAGUGAUUACUAUAACAAAUUUUGCAUUUAAGAAUGCUUUAAACAAUAAUUCGCAACGUUUUAAAGUAUCAGCAAAAAUAAUUCCAACAAUUUUAAAAGCGUAUGGCAAAGAGUUGUUAAAUAAAACUAUCGGGACAAAUUUACCAAUAUUUUAAUAUAGUGUCGAGCAAUUAUUUCUGACUCUUUUGACAGUCGGUAAUAUGUUAGUUGUCAACUCUAAAACAGUCGUUAAUUUAAACAAUUGCUAAUACUCCAAAGCAUCGAUAAAUUCAUUACAAUAGAAUUAGAUUAUUGGGACAUAUUUUUGGGAUAUUUUUAUCUAAGUGUCUCAUUUAUGCAAACUUUUUUUAAAAAAAUUUAUUAAUGCCUAAAUAUAAAGCCCAAUCCAAUCAAAAACAAAAAAUUUCUCUACGCAACCAACCCCACCUAGCCCACUCGACAGGAUUACAAAUAGAAAAGAAAAAAAAAUAAUAAUAAUAAUAAUAAUUAAUCACCAUCUCCCCUUCUUCUCCUCCACCGCCGUAGUCGACGAGAUAGGUUCCGGUGACUAGAGUUCGGCCGCGAGGAUCUCGCAGGGACUGUAGAGGGCUACGAUCGCCACGUGUCCCUCCGCCACAUGUCGCUAAAGAAGUGGGUGCCAAAUAUCAAGGCGGCCCUAUAUAUAGCGACUGCACAUAUAACAACACUUUUAAAAAGUAUCGAUAAUUUAGCCAGCAGCACUUUUUUCAACUUAUACUGACAUUUAAAAUUGUCGCUAUACACCAAUUUUGUUGUAGUGAAUAUUAUAAAAUACAAAAUAAACAUUCUAAUACAAAAACUUUGCAAUAAUGAAUAAAAAUUUUAAGUGUUUCAACAUCAGUAAAUGUCACGCGCCGGAUUACUCGUUUUUCCAUGCACGACGACAAAUCCGCCAUAUACAAAAAAAAAUUUUCUGUAUACGAAGCGAUAGCUGUAUCUGUACCUGUAGUCAUACAAUACUACAACCAGUAGUAUAGAGCCGCUAAAAAAAGACAUAUAUAACAACAUCGGUUCAAUAUGCAUACAUAGUAUCCAGAUAUAAAAAUCACUCGCUCCAGCGAAGAACUAAUAUCAGUAUAUAUAAGAACUCAAAACCAAAACUAUCUGAAGCUGGUAUAUCUCUAGAUCAGCAGCAAAAUGGGAAGGGAUCUAGCUCGCGACUCCCUUUCCACGAUUUGAAUCCACAAAGCAGCAGCCAAAGAAGAAGGCUCUGCAAAAGGUUCCACAACUGGGUGUGAGAACUAUUGCAAAGAGAAGUAGUUCUCAGUGGGUACCGCUACCAACCUCAACGGCUCAUCCACUAAGUUUAUACACUACUGUAAAAAUAAACUUGACAUGCCAGCACAUGUGUAAUGCAUUCUACACUAUUCUAGGUAUUCACCGCCCACAAACUGUGGCGAUACAAACAACCUACGGCUCCUAAAGCUAAACUGGUAGUUUCAGAAAAUGACGGUGUAGAAUCGAUAGUUUUCUCCUAAGUCAAUUCCAAAUCCAACAUGUAUAAUUUAUUUAAAUCACUACUCUAUACUUCAAAUUCAGAUUUCAAUUAACAUGCAAAUCAACGAAUUCGAGUAAAUUAACAUGAUAUACAAAGAUCAAAAUACAUGCUGACAUCAACUAGGCUUAGGAGGAAAUCCGUAGUAUCCGGUAAGCAUAUCAUUAACCCACCUCUAGCGUGAGUCCAGCAAGAUUAGGAAAACGUCAGAAGAAGCCCUGCCAAGCUCAACUACGAAUCAGCACAAUCCUCUCUAAGGGUCUAACACAAGAACACCAAAAUUGUAUCAAUUCCCUCAAAUUUCAGCACUAAUGCUUAAUUCCUCCAGAUCCAAUGUCAAAACUCGCCUUUCAAUCCACAAUUCAGGUGAAGAACAUUCUCAAAACCAGUAGGAAAUGAUGGAGCAACCUCCUCUGGUCGAAAUUUCAGCUUCCUCAAAGAUUUGGUCCAAGAAAACUACAAAAAUUCAAGUUUCAGCUCCAAAACAGCAGCACUUAAAAAAAAUAGCAAAUUAACCAUACUAACCUCAAUCAAUUUCUGUCAAAUUAGCACCACGAAACCUUCCAGAAGUCUACUAAACACCAAACCAAGUUUCGCGACAAUCUGACCUUCCUACGUCGCACACGAGCCAAAACGCCGAAGGCCGCUGCUGGAAUUCUGCUGGAAUUGCAAUCCUCAAGGUGGAAUUAUGCAAUUAGGAAAGUUUAGAGGGGCUAAACUGCAAAAAUAGGGCUUCUCUGUGAAGAAGGGUGAAAAAGCUUCUUAGGGGGUCGAACACAAGCUUUUAUAGAGAGAUAAAAGGGUAAGAAAAGCCUCAGGAAUAGGAAAGACUAACCUAUUGUUCCUGCAGAAACGAGCACUUUCGGGCUCCCGAAACUCACUUCUGGGCGUCCGAAACCUUUAGGCCAUACAACACACCCUCUUCGGUUCCUCCGCCUGCGGUCUGCUGUGCCCCUAACAUGGUCCGGCGUACCUCACCUACCACCAUAUACAUGUCAACGCAAUCGAUAUUUCCAAAGUAAACAUUCGGGCCCAUAAUCGGGCACCCGAAAACAGGAUCCGAAUUGGCUUUCAGUUUCAGCUCAGUUCAGCACUCAGUUCUGGGCGACCCGAACCAAGUUCUGAGCACCCGAAACUGGCAAAACUCCAGUUUUGCUUAUUUGAGUGCGCCAAGUCCGUUUCUACAUCCCUUUUGUGCAAAAACGACUCUGAUUCAGUUCGACACUCUCCAGAUGUGUCGACCAAUCGCUAAUACUGUAGCCAAUCCGAUACAAAACUCUCGGGAUACUACAGUAAAUUUCAAUCAACAAUACUAAUCCCAAUCAAGAAAUAUAAAAUUUCUACUAUUGCAUAUGCAUUGGAAAUAAUAGGAACAAAAAAUUUUCAUCACGGUUUUAUUCACGAUGAAUUAGUAAAGUCUCUAAAUGCAUCACUCUUGUUGCGCGUAUAUUGCUUUCAAUUAUGCGUUCUCUUAUAAUGUAUAUUAAUAUAGAACCUACGCUUCACAGCGAAUAGCUAGCAUUCAGUCAAUUAAGACAUAUAGUUAUUAAAACUUUAAGAUUGAAAAAUUUAUAACUAAAAAAUAUCAAAAAAUUAUAAAGUGGUCUUUUGUACAUUAUAAAAAAAAUAAUUUUUAAUUAAUAUUUUUUAAAUUUUUUUAAUAUUUGUAGAGUAGAGUUAAAUUAUUCUAAUAAUUUUAUUUAAAAAUUCAAUCAUAUUAGUAGUUUUAACCGCUAUUAUAUAAAUUUUUUAACCAAAAAGUUAAAGUUGGAAGACUUAUUUCAAAUUGAAUAAUAAGUGAGGGUGUCUUUACCUUUUUAAAAUUAAUUGUAGAAAAAAAUAUAUUACUCACCUAAUAUAUAUUAAGGGCACGUUUGGUUCGAAGUCGGAAUUGGAAUCAGAAUUAGAAUCGAAAUAAGCUGGAAUCGGAAUCGGAAUCGGAAUCGGAACGACUCAUUAUCUAAUUCUGUUUGGUUCGUUACCUGAAUCGGAAUCGGAAUAAAUCAUUCCCAUUAUCGAUGUUUGGUUCAGCUAGAUAUAAAAAACGUAUUCAAAUUGAUAUACUAACUUUAUCUUUAUAAUAUAUUAAUUAAAUUAGAAUUGAAAAUUAAAUAUUAAAAAUUUACAUCAAAAUUUUGAAAUAAUGUCAAAAACUCAUAUUUUAAUUAAAGAAGUUGGAAAAAUAAAUUUAGUUCGAAUAAAUAUCUAUUCCGUCCGAAUUCAACUUCCAAUCCGGCCUCCUAGGCCGGAUUGAAAAAAGAGGUGAUUAGGAGAUUCUCAUUCCACUCGGGAAUCGGAAUCGGAAUGGGACUCCCACAUACCAAAUAUCUACAAACGGAUUCACCAAUUUCGAUUCCGAUUUCAUGGUGAAAAAGAAGCGAACCAAACACGCCCUAAUACCCUAUCUUUGGCAACUUAUAUUAGAUAACUAAUAUUCUAAUAUCAAAAUUUAAUUAAACAUAUCCAAUCUAAAAAGUCUAAUAAUUUAAAUUAUAUAUGAUAAAUUGAUUUUAAAAUCUCUAUCAAAGGAUUUUAAUAAGAUGCACUUAUAAUUUCAAAAGAGAUAAGAAAUCUUUGCUUGCUGAUGCGUACCAAUACUUCAAACACUGCAUAAAAUAUUAAAUAUUGAUGGAAUAUUUGAUAAUCAAUACUAUAAAAUAAGAUAUGAUAUUAUAUAUGUAAUAUAAAAUAUUUAAAUAAUUUAUUAUAUUAUAGAAACUUAUUUUUAAUUUACAUUUUAGACUCGGUUUACGAUGCAAUGGGCGCAUUCAAAAUUAUUAUAGGACAUGUGGCAAGCCCCAUUGGCACGUUCAUGCCUUAAUCGGCAACGUGGCUCUCCCUCCCAAGCCAUUUUGGUGAUGUGACCUCACUCUCAAAUUAUGUAUUUUAUUAUUAUAUAUUGCCGUAGAUAAAAUGUGAUAAAAAGAAUUAUAUGGGCAGAACUCAGGUUUAUUAAGAUUUCCACCUAACUAGCAUUAGGCAAAAUCCAUCCUACAAUAGGCAGACAAAAAUGAAAGUUAGUACAAACACUCUGUUCACCAAUCUUAUGUUGUUGUAGACAGAAUAUAAUGAAAAAAAUUAUAUAAAAAGAACUCAACUGCAUUAGAAUUUCUAUCUAAAUAGGAACAAGCAAUAUCCAUCUUACAAUAUAUAGCAGACAAAGAAAAAAUAUUAGCACAAAUAGUCAAUUCACCGAUCAAAGCCAACAUUAACUUAGACAAAAAUGAAAGUAUCGGAAACUAUUCAUGGAUAGUCCGAGUAGUUCAUAAAAACUCACUCACACAUAGACAACCAAAUUAAACUUCUAAUUAAAAGUCAAAAUAUUAGCGGAUAGAGAAUUUUUCUCCAAAUAAGUCCAACUUUGAUACGUUUCUCUCAUGAAUUGACAUUAACACUGCUCCACCUUUUUCUUUUGGGAUUAAGCACGUACUCAUAAAAUUUUCCAAUCAAAUGUAGAGUUUUGAGUAGUCAAAAUUGAUGUCUUAAAUCUGAACAUAGAGUGUCAAUUUGCUGUUCUAACAAUUUGUGGUUCUAAUAAUGAUUUUUUUUUAAUCUUUCCAAAAUUAGAGUAGAUUCAUUUUAAAGGGUUAUGGGCCCACACAAAUUUUGAUCAAUAGCCUUGAGGUAGGUGAGUGAAGCAGAAGUAGGCAUGAUGAGGAAUGGCAGGGAAUUUUAAAUUCCUGUAUGCCGGUAAGAGCGUGGGAUCGAGUAGGGAAGGAGAAAAAAAUCCCAAAGCGGAUUGCCUAGGCGGACGAGGUAGGUGUAGAGUUAUUGAAGGUCUUCAGCUGUAAUGAAGAUGAUGAGGGGACGUUAGUUGCAUCCGGUAAGGACACCACCCGAAAGCAAAAGGAAGUCUUUAUUGAUGGACAUCAACGGAGUAAGCUUCGGGGUUCGCCCGGUGGACAGCAAAGCGGGGAGAAGAGCUAGGGGGAAGGUGGGAUCAGUAAUUGCUCCACCCUGAACAGAGGCUCUUUUAAGGAGGUGUUGAUGAGGAGGCCGAUAUCUCAUUCUAGUGUGUCUAACCUUCACCACCAUCAUCCCCACAUUCCUCCCUCUCAAAUUACUUGGGGUCGCCCUCCUCGAAGACCUGUGAAGAGGUGUUUCCGGUGUCUGGCAAGGAACCAUUCCGUCGCGGCGUGUCGCGCCCCUUUAUAGUGUUAUAGGUGCUGGAAAACUGGCCACCGAGCAUACUCUUGUAGGGGGAAAUCUGGUGCAAAUGGUGGCAAUAUGAACAGAGCUACGAACCUCAGGGGGCGAGCUCCACUGUCCAAGGUUUAUGUCCCCUACACUGAGGGGUACUUGCGAAGAGUCGAGCUAUGCCGUAAUGCCAUCCUCGCAAACGUCAUCCAGCGAGCUAAUCUGGGACCGGACCCAAUUACCACCAUUAAGAUCGCUCUCGCUAGCUGCUUCGGGGGGUAUACUGAGGAUUUUGCUGUCGCGCACUGCAGAGAGAAAGACUUUGCAAUUUUUUUGCCGGAAUGGGUUUCAAUUGAAGUACUGACCAGAAGGGAGGUUCUUACUCUUAAUGGUUUUUGGAUUCCGUGUUGGCUAUGGGGUCGCUACCGGGAUGCUCGACCUCAUUGUGUCCAAUGCAAAGUGUGGAUCCGCUUAAUCAACCUUCCUUUCGAGAUAUGGUCUGUGGCUCGUGUGGCGGCGUUGAUCAGUGGCUUCGGGCGGUUCAUCAAGGCUGACGACGUGACCAAGGCAAUGACGGAUUUUCGAGCCUUUAGAUGCCACAUCGCUCUCGACUCGCUCAGCAGCAUACCUCAGAAUCUCUCGGUGAUCGUUGGCGAGGAGCUUUCCUGGCCAUGGUCCACCUGGAGAGGUGGGAAAGGACAGUGGACGGUGAACUCGUGGCGCCACCCACACCACCACGUAACGAAGACGGCAACGCCGAGGAGCGAGCGGGUAAUCGGAACCAUUGACAGCAUGACGACAGAGGUGAAGCCCAAGCGGACGACGACAUAGAGGAUGCACCAGGAGGGCUAGAGGAAGCUGAGCCAAACCCACUGAUCCACAGGGCUUCGUGCGUUACGCCAGCAACGCGAGCCUCCACGGUGGCCCAUCAGCUCGGAUCGGCGGCGAGGCUCCGAGUGGCAGUUGGCUGGCGUCUCUGGGUUGCAACGGGUCGAAGAAGCUCAGAAUUUGAAGCGACGGGAGUGUCGGGCUCGAGGCAGGCUCAGCGUAGCGGGACUCCCGUGAUUUGCUCGAAAAAAGAAAGCGGACAGAGCAUGCCCAGAUUGACCUGCCUAGCAACGUCUUUCCCAACUAGUGGAAAACUCUUUUUUAUGACUAGGGGUUUAGCUUGGGAGGUGGAUUGCAAGCCCGUUGAUGUUGGGGGACCCGAGGUAGUAAAUGCCCUGGGUCAACCCUCGGGUUCCAAGCCAAAACUACUGAUCUCGGUUACUUGGUCCACACUCAUUACCCUAUCUUUACAGGUGGCAUUGGGUGGCAGUCGGGUUGAACACUCCUUAGUGUUGGUCAAUGGGCCUUCUCCGGCCCUUAGGGCCUGGUCCUUCCUCUCAUCCCAUUAUCAGCUUUGGUAGGGGGGCUCGACCGCUCUUUUGGCCCACGGGUCGGUCUUUCCAACCAGUCAUGGCCGUUCGGGUUCGCUGUUUCUGACACCUAGGGGGGCAAGUGCGGAGGCUUGCGUCAUUGAUCAGCAACUGCCUCUCGGAUGAGUAGGUGGCGCCAUGAGUGACUAUGAUAUGAUCCCUACUAACGAGCCGUUCGUUGAGGACUCGACAUUGUCAGAAGCCACCAGCGUCCCAAUUCCUUCCUCCCCUUUCCUUCUAGCCGACCUCAAGUUAUGCCCGGACACGAGAGGGAACAUAGGGGGAGCGACAAAGCGACAGAUACCGGCAGCACUUGUAUCGGUGUCUCCCAAAAAUAGAGGAGCUACUCCUCCUACGAUUUGCCAAGAAAGAGAAAACGACUUGCUAAGACCAAAAGACCAAUAUGACACCGAUACUGUCCAAGGCAAUGUUAAGGAAGAUCAAUCUGCGCGAAGGCGAGCAGGCAACAGAGCAGAGAGCCUCAGUAGCGAAGAUCACCUCCAAGGGUCUCCUCUGUAGGGUGAAGCUAGGCGUGAACGAGGCGAAGAACUUCAGCGUGUUUCUGAACGAAUGCAUGUAGGCUGGGCGUCUUGUGUUACUGUAGACUCUGUUUUGGUUUUUGGUGGUGAGAUUCUGUCGAUUUUUUGAUAUUUCGCAUCUAUAGAUGGAACGUUAGAGGGCUCAAUGACCUCUCUAAACGGCGUGCCGUUAGGGCCAUAGUGUCGAAACUGUGUAACGCGGUGGUUUGUCUCCAGGAGUCGAAAGUUAACCAAGUAUCCGGGUCUUUCCGUAGUAGUUUCGGUGGUUCCUUGUUAAACAAAUGUGUCUUUCUUGAAGCCGUUGGAGCCUCAGGGGGAAUUAUCACGGGGUGGAGUUCCCGCUUUUUCACUUGCUUAGAAGUUCUCGUGAGGACAUACUCCUUUACUACUCUUCUUUCCGCCGCUACGUGCGAGUCUAAGUUUUUUCUCACGAACGUCUAUGGACCCACCUCUUGGGACAGCAAAGAAGAGUUCUUCGCUGAACUGGCGCAGCUUAAGGAUCAUUGUGCGGGGAAAUGGAUCAUCUGCCAUGAUUUUAACUGCACUAGAGGGCAAGAGGAGCGGAAGGGAAAGCACUGGAGCACAAGGGCCACUGGUCUGUUCAACGAUCUGAUCAGAGAUCUCGCCUUAAUCGACCUGCCUCUGUCCAACCAAUCCUACACGUGGUCUAACUUGCAAGUGAAUCCAACGUUCGCGAGACUCGAUCGAGUCCUCGUCUCAACCGAAUGGGACCAGGAUUUCCUCCUUUCUAGAGUUGAAGCUUUACCAAGAAUUACUUCCAACCAUUGCCCUAUCUUACUAACUGCGGAGAAUUGCUCCUGGGUGAAGAACAAGACCUUUCACUUUGAGAAAGCUUGGCUGAAUCAUAAGGGAUUCAUCUCUAAACUUUCGAGUUGGUGGAGGGAAGGUUCUCAGGGUACGCAGGAUAAGUCGGCGGUUCUCACUUUCACAGCAAAGCUAAGACACUGCCGCAUUAGGAUCAAGGAGUGGUGCGCUAAUGAGUUUUACAGUAUUAGAAGAGCUAAGAAUCACCUUAUGGAUGAAAUACAGAGAAUUGAUAAAGUGGAAGAACUAGGCGAUCUAUCGCAAGACUUAAGUUCUAAGAGAGUGGAACUAAAGGAUAACCUGAGAAGUGUCUUAAGCGACGAAGCCUCCAUUUGGACAACCCGGGUCAAGCAGCACUGGCUGCGAGAGGGGGAUGGUAACACAAAAUUAUUCCAUUCAAUAGCUAAUGGCAGACGUAGAGCUAACUAGAUUGGCACAACUGUUGAGAAUGGUGUUAGUUACCGGUCCGAAGAGGAGAAACAAAAAUACUUCUACCGAUCCUUCAAGGCACUUUUCACACUCGAGGAUUCGAAUCCAACUUCCUUUGGAGACUGGGCCAGGUUAUUUCGGUCCAAUCGCGUUGCGGCUCCCAAUCUAUUGAGGUUAAUCGAACCCUUUAACUUAGAAGAAAUCAAGCAAGCUGUUUUCCAACGGGGGAGUGAUAAGGCGCCGGGCCAGGAUGGAUUUCCGUUAAAGUUCUACCAAACGUUUUGGGACACCAUUAAGAAGGAUAUCUCGAGUUUAUUCCAAGAGAUGUUUCAGGGGAGGCUCUCCACGGCCCCCAUCGACUACGCUUUCAUUUGCCUUAUCCCGAAGAAGGAGGGGGCAGAGCGGGCAAAUGACUUUCAACCCAUAAGCUUGCGGAACGGGAUCCAAAAGAUCUUAUCUAAGGUUUUGGCCAACAUGCUAGAAUAGGUAAUGAAGGACCUGAUAUCCUCUACUCAAUCAGCCUUCCUGAAAGACAGGAAUAUUACCGACGGAUAUGCAUCCGUUGCUGAACUUAUCAGAUAGGGUAGUAAAAAGUCUGUUGAAGGAGUGGGGGUAAAGGUUGAUUUCGAAAAACCCUACGACAAGAUUUACUGGCCAUUCCUAUUUCAAACUUUACGUUGGUGGGGUUUCAACGACAAGUGAUGCGGCUGGAUCGAAUUAUACAUGUGUUAUGCGAAAGUGGCGAUACUUGUGAACGGAGAGCCGACCAAAUGGAUAAAGACGAAGAGAGGCGUUAGGCAAGGGGACCCGCUUUCGCCUUAUCUAUUCUUGUUGGUGGCGGAGUGUCUCGCCCGUAUGACUAAGGAGGCAAUCUCUAAUAAUCUCAUCAAAGGCAUUGGUCCGUCCGAGACAAGUAAGGUGUAGUGUACCGAGUCCUCGGUGCGCUAAAUCGAACUUUCGUCAAAUUGACCAAAGUGAGAUAAUGGGCACUUAAAGAGGUCCGUUGAGUGUUCCGAGUGAUCGAAAUGACUUAUAAGGGUAUAAGGGACCAAAAUGGACCUUGGAGAGCACGAUUGGAGAAUUUUGAAAAAUUUUAAAUUUGUGGUGCUCUCGGGGUUCGGACCCUGCAUAUAGGGUCUGGACCCCGUACACGGGAAAACGUAAAAAUGGUGUAAAGUGUCAUUUGUGUGAGGGGCUAUGUGCAUUUGUGCCCUUGGAGUGUAUAUAGAUGGAUUUUGUUCCCAUUUUCUUCAUUCUCCCUCACACUCUCAACCAAAGAGAGUUCUCUUUCUCUCUCUAAACCUCUCUCUCUCCCUCUCCAAACCUCUUUUUCUCUCUAGGGUUUGCUCCAAUAGUGGAGUAAUGGUGGGGAGAAGCUUGCUUAGUGGUGAAGCAACCCUCUUGUGAAGGCUAAGCUUGGGAGAGAGCUUCAUUUGAGGUAAGCCUUGUGGAUUUGAAGGCUUUUAAGUUAGGGUUUUGAUAUAAAUCCUUUAGAAAUGAGAUAUAUUGGAACCCUAGAUGAUUCUAAACCAUAUUAUUGCAUUAUCUAUCAUAGGAAUUGGAUUUAUUGCAAUAUAAGGAUUUUUAGGGUUUCAAAAGAGGGUUUUGAUAUAGGUAGGUUUUGAUCUCAAUUGAUCCUAUGUUUCUGCAAUUGAAGGUGAAACUAACGCGGCGGAUCACCUGGAUUUAGAUUCCGUUGGGCCGGUGGUGGUCAAAGUGAAGAAAACUUUGUUUUUGCUUUGUUUGCCGCAGUCGGAAGAAAUCGACGAUGAUAAAUCGCGCUGCUUGGCUACCCGCUUCGUGACGACGCCACGAGGUGGGGGGUGCUAUCCGAAAUAGCCAGGUUUCAUUCUAUGUCUAAGUUCUACAUUUUGAUCAUAUAGCUUCAUGCAUUGUUAGUAUGUGAGAAACCUAUAGUCUUAGUAAAUUCAUGCUUAGUGUGAGGGAUGAUGAUCCAUGAUUGCAUGAUACUUGUAGGAAUAUCUAUUUGCAUGAUGUUGAGAUAGAUGUAUAGAUGUGUAUGCAUGAUUUGCUAGAGGACAUAUAUGCAUGUGAAUAUGCGAGAAUGUGCUAGAUACAUUGCAUGAGAACUAUAGAUGCUCUUAUUGUAUAAUGCCAAGAUAGUUGUAUAUAUGCAUGUUGCAUGAAUAGCUAGUGGACAUAUGCAUGUUGACAUAUUGUGAGAAUAUGCUAGAUUCAUGUGAAUUAAAUAUGUAGACAUGCUGUGAGAAUAUGCUAGAUAUGUGCGUGAGAUGCCAGAGAGCAUAUGUAUGUAGACCUAUUAUGAUAAUUGAAAAAUAUUGUAUAUGUAGCAUAUCCUCACUCAUGAGAAUUAUGAACUUGGCAUUAUGAGAAUUGGGAUGUGGGAUUCCCGAGGUCCUCGGGCAGGAGAACUUCAGCAUAUUGCAUAUGUGGCCUAUGGCGAGUAUAGCAUGCCUUGUGAUUAGAUAGGAUGUGGGAUUUCCGCGGUCCUCGGGUGGGAGGACUAUGAUCAUACUCGCGUCGUCUGUAUCUGUUUGGCUUGUGGAUGGUUGCGCCUCCCAAGCAAUGAGCUCCGGAGUUGUAUUACAGUGAGAUAGAGAAACGGGGGGUCCCUCCCAGCAGACAGCCAUGGUCGCACGAUAAGGUGUUACGAGUCGUGGUUCGACCUUUAGGCGAACCGAUUUGAUUGAAUCAAAGCAUGGUAAUGACAUUUCAUAUAUACUAGUGUAGUUACCCGCGUGAUGCGGCGGACAGGUAUUAUCGAAAUAUUAUAUUUUUAAUCCAAUCCAACUCACCUUAAACAAAAACUAUCAAAUAAUUCCAAAAAAUAUUGUAAAAUAGGUUAAAAAUAGAUAACGAAUAGAAAAUAAAAGAGAGAAAAAAAAAGAUAGAGAAACUAUUACUUGGUAUUGAUCUCUAAGAAGAUGAGACUUACUAUUAUUUUUGCCGCCACCUUGAUCUUCACUGCCAUUGCCCAUGCUUUCUUUCACAGCCGCCGCCGCCGCUUUGAUCUCUACUACUUUCUCAUUCACCACCUCCACCACCACUAUGACCUGAAGUAUCUAAAAAACUCUACACAAAAAAGAGGAGAUAGGGUUGUGGGAGUUAGAAAAAACGGAUGGUAGAGAAGAAGAAAAGACUUGUGGGCUGACCUGAAGUAUCUAAAAAACUCUACACAAAAAAGAGGAGAUAGGGUUGUGGGAGUUAGAAAAAACGGAUGGUAGAAAAGAAGAAAAGACUCGUGGGCUGGAAAGAGGUGAAGUAGUGGACGUUGAGAAGAUGAGAAGAUACUAAAGUUAGGAGCUGAAAAAAAAAAAGAAAUCCCACACCUCGUACUAAAUGAGAAUAGAAGAAGACACCAAAAUUAGAAGUUAACAAAAAAAAUAGAAAAAAGUAAAUUGAUGCCACAUCUUUUGGCAAAUGAAAGAGGUCCUAAUUUAUUAUAAAAAAUGAAUAGACUUUUAUUUUCAUGACAUGCAUAGGAGAGAAUGGGGCUUUUGUAUGAAUUUGUAUCGUUUAAGAUUAUAUUAGGAUUAGGAUAGGUGGAUGCAUUAAUUAAACGCUAUAUGUAAAGGGAAGAUGAAGGGUUGUAUUUUUUGUGUAGGUUUCUAAGUUUACGGAACUCAUCUUCUUUCUUUUUUGAUUACCUUCCGACGUUACAAAAAAGAAAUUAUGAGAUGGAAAGCCGAAGAGACAUACGAUAUGGAAAAGAAAUUAAUAAGACAGAAAUUAAUAAGACGGGAAGCCGAAGAGGUAGACGUUAUAGGGAAGGAAUUAAUGAAACGGAAAGCCGAAGAGACAGACGUUCAUAAGGUGAAAGCAAACAGUGAACGAAACUAUAGGGAAGGAAUUAAUAAAACGGAAAGCCGAAGAGACAGACGUUCAUAAGGUGAAAGCAAACAGUGAACGAAACACUGCCACGUGGCAUUUUUUAUGGGGAUUAAUGUAUAGAAAUAGAUGUUGCAUACAUUGUAGAACUUUGCUAGAUGACAUUGUUAUAGACAUAGUGGAACUCAUACUUGGUGACAUGUUUGGCAAAGGCAUAGCUACACAUUUGAAGCAUGAUAGAUAUAUAUGAGCAUAUUAGGCUUAUUGUUCUAUUCAUUACUUCUUUGUCAUAUUACCCUAUCUAUUGUUUCUAUGCCUUUCUUAGACCUAGUGGAAAAAUCGGCGGGGUCGGUGGCCGAACCCACUGGAAACUAUGGAUAAUAGUUCUCACACCCUAUUUUGCAAAGCCAAGCAUGAGCGCAUUCGUCGAGGACGCGACAUGGGCAUCGAGCCCUAGAUAGAGUGGACCACCAGCAUUAGCCCACUACCCCUAUGUAUAGCAAAAAAGGAAAUGUAUAACCCUUUGGAAAGGAAUGUAAUGAAAUGGUGUAUUGUGAUGUAAAAUCCUUUUGUGUAUAAAAGUGAAAUCAUGUUGUAUAAAUAAGAAGUAAAGUUGAAUGUAAAUGUGAUGUAAUAGUUAGCUUUAUUUCUCUCGCAUCUGUAUAUACCUCUUGCAAAUGUUUUGUUGCUAUUAUCUCCUGUUUGGAUAUAUGUAUGCACAGACUUUAUUUUACGCCUUGGGCAGACAGAGGAAACUCUGUCCGUUCAGUGGGUCUGUUUCGGGCCCGAACUGUCCAAAUUGGUGGUGUCGGGUCGUGACAUAAGGCCACCCUCAUUCAGUUCGCGGACGACACCUUCUUCUUCUGCGAGGCAAGAAGCAGGUACUUGAGAAAUCUCAGGUUCAUAUGGCAUCUUUUCGAAUGGGCUUCGGGAAUGAAAAUCAACAGGGAAAAGUCGGAGCUUUACUAUCUAGGACAGGAGGACGAAAAAAGAGUUAGAUUAGCAAGCAUUCUCGAGUGUAGAGAGAGCACUCUUCCGACUAAAUAUUUGGGAUUACCUCUCUCCCCCAGACCACCAUCCAAGGAGGCAUGGAGGGAGAUCAUUCAAAAAUUACAUCGCAAAAUAGGGGGCUGGCAAGCCAAACUCCUAUCUAAGCGGGGUAGACUUAUUUUGGUUAAUGCGGUACUAACCAACUUACCCCUAUAUUUCCUAUCCGUGUUCAAGGCCCCCUCAUGGGCGAUUAAGCACAUCGAAGCCCUAAGAAGAGACUUCUUCUGGAAUGGCGGGCACAACCUUCUUGGCAAGGGAUGCUUGGUGGCUUGGAAAAACGUUUGCAAGACCAAGAAGGAAGGCGGGUUAGGUAUUUUGGAUGUUGCUACCAUGAAUCAAGCUUUACUGACCAAAUGGUGGUAGAAAUUCCGCACAGCACCUGAAUUACAAUGGAAUAAGUUAGUCCGAGAAUUGUAUUAUUGUAGACGAAAACCACUGAGGAAAGGUUGAUCCUUCAAACCUUUCUCUAGCUGGUGGAAGGGUAUUCUUAGCCUCAACACCAUCUUUAAAUGGGGAGCGGCUUUUAAAUUAGGAAAUGGGAGUACCAUCUUUUUUUGGCUGGAUCGGUGGUGUGGGGAGAAAACGUUGAACCUAUUGUUUCCGGAAGCUUACCUUAUUUUCGAGGGGAAAAACUCUAGAGUUGGUGAAUGCUUUACGAGGGGUAAUUGGAACUGGACCAAGAUUCUGGCAGCCGACGUAGGCCAAAUGCAAAGGCCGAUACCGAGCCUCUCGGAACUCGUAGAAAGGAUCUCCUGCUUCACCGUCGAGCAUAAACCAAACAUGAUCUAAUGGCGUUGGAAUACUGAUGGACACUUCUCGAUCAAAUCGACCUAUUCGGCAUUGACGGACGACAGGAUGAGAGACGCUUGGGCCUCCAACAUCUGGAGUCUUAAAAUCCCUUUAAAAGUAAAAGUGUUUAGCUGGUUGGUUCUCAAGAAGAGAAUUCUUACAUGUGAUAAACUUGUUAAGAGAGGGUGGAUAGAUGACCCUACCUGCGUGCUUUGUGGGGCGGACGAGGAAACUAUGGACCAUCUGUUCACCCGAUGCGUAUUCUGCAAGUUUAUCAUAGUGACAGGGGUGGAUGAUAUUCAGGCCCAAGAUCUGGGGGACGAUGUGAACCUCGUAUGGGAUAGGUGGAUAGGCAGGAAGGAUCACCAAAAGAAGCGAAACAAACUUACAGACCUAGUAGGCUGCUGGUGGAUUAUUUGGAAGGUCAGAAAACAACACAAUCUUUCGGAAUAUCCUUCCGAACCCUGGGCUAGCGAUCAACAGACUCAAACUUCUUGUAAAGGAGUGGGACCUUCUUCUCGCAUCUUAACUAUGAAGGUGUUUUUUUUUUUUUUUGGCCUUCUUUUCUCUCGGGCCCUAGUUGCCCUACACUUGUAGCUUAAUUCAUCAGUCUAAUGAAUGAAGCGGGAAGCGUGCUACCUCUUUCUUUAAAAACGAAGUCAAAAUAUUAGCUUGCCACUUUUCCCUUUAAUGAAUUCUCCAAAAGUUUCAAAUCAAACAAUGUUGAAGUAACUCUUAAAUAGCACUACUAAUAAAAUUUAACUUGGAACGUCCUGCAAAAAUAUUAGUGCUCGCGCCCAGUAUAGUUGAUGCAGAGUAGAUAAAGAAAAUUGCGUUUCUUCUCGAAGUUUUGAUACCAAAUAACAAAAAAAUAUAUAUUUUAGAAUAUUUAAUCAAAUUUUAGCUUUGUUCAAAAAUUAUAUCUUAGGAUACUUAGUCAAAUUUUAGCUUUAAUAUCUCAUUACAGUUUUUGUUAGUUUUAAUUUUUAAAACAGUGAUUUAAAACUUGUUUUUGGCCCAUAGGCUUCCUGGACAGCCCAACUCUCUAUGGGCCUUGCCUGGGAGCUCAUACCUUACUUUCCACAUGUAGAGUUUAGUUCCACAUUGGAAAGUAAAGGCACUCUACUUCACUUUAUAUACUCUCUCACUCUCAAUUUAAUUACUUGAGAGAACAUGAGAAUGAGGCUCUCGACUAAACGCACGCACGGCACGAGCCAGGUCGGGCAGGCGGUGGCACGCAUGAAUCCGGUUCAUUUACACCUUUUUCCUUUUAUUUUAUUUUAUUUUAUUGAAUUUUAAUAUUAUUUAAUUGAUCCUAUGAUAGCCUUGCCUUGGGAAAGGACGAAGCACAAGAUCAAAUCUGGAUCUUGUUCAGAUUUGGUCCAACCUCGGGAAGGAGCCAGAUCUUGAUCAAAGAUCCUCCCUUGGACCAUUCAAAUCCUCUCCUAUAUAUAGAGGUGAAGGUGAAGGCGCACACAUACAUACGAGAAGACUUAACCUGAGCUUGCACCUUAAUAGUCUCUUCUUUCACAUUGAUUUCUACAUUGAACUUUAUAUUUCCAUUUUUGUUGGAUCUCUGAAAGCUCAUACGGCUCGUGUUACGCCACCCUAAAGACGUGCCGACGGGGUGGACAAUGAUUGUUGUAUCGCUAGGACUGAUUGCCGGAGCCUCGCACCUAGAGGGGCACACUACAACAAAAACGGUCUAUAGCGACACUUUUAAAUGUCGGUAUAGGUCAAAAAAGUGCUGCUGGCUAAAUUUACCGACACUUUUGAAAAGUGUUGCUAUAUGUGAAGCCGCUUGAUAUAUAGUGACAGUUAAAGAGUGUUGCUAUAAUCUAAAAGAGUGCUGCUAAUUUACCAACAUUUAUUUAAGUAUCUGGCAACCGCCGGAACUCUACCUCGUUGGCUGCGGUGGCGGAGGAGGACGAGAGGAAAUGAUCUUCGUCUAGGAUUUCAGUCGAUUGAGUGAGGGGAGAAGGAAAAAUGAUAAUCGAUUUUUUUUUCUUUUUCUUUUCUUUUUCUUUUCUGUUUGUAAUCGGGCCGAAUGGGCUAAGUGGAGUGGGUUGAGUAGAGUACCCUUUUAUUUUUAGUUGGAUUGGACUUUAUAUUUAGGCAUUAGUAGGAUUUUUUUAAGUUUUGGUAUAAAUGUGACACUUAUACAAAAGUGUCCCAAACAUGUGUCGCUAUAACCUAAUUAUGUUGUAGUGGCAAUCUCGCUCCUAGGACAAUGCUUUCGCACGCCUCGACCCACAUGCCUCAUCUGAUCUCUUAAUCUUUAUACAAUUAACUAUUUAAUUUUUGCUUAAGGUUUUUAAAAACUAAAGUUAAAUUAUUUUCAUUCAAAAUUGUUUAAAAAGAUAUUUUACUAAAGAUUUUAGAAAGAGAAUAAUUUUUCCA